UCCCCUAUGGCUCACAGAUUACUACAACACCAGUUGCAGGUACAGGUAAAGGUUACUUCGCGCGAGCGCGUUGAUUGUUCAUUUGGAGUUGCUUCUUCUUCUUCUUCAUCGAUCUAGGAUGGGUUCCAGGCCGGCAGCCUGGGAUAGCAAGGAUGGACGUCGUUCUUCUUUUGUCGUUUAUUUUUGUCCGUAGUCAGACCCUGCUCUUACUCUUGAUGAAUAUGUGAUGUACUGAUGUGACUCUGAUGUAGCUUGUGGAGAGUGUAAGCCAAUUCUAUAUAUAUCUCUUCUUUUCAGUACAUGUACUUGUAAUGAUAUCCAUUCUUGGGACACGACGAGAUGCGCUUCUAUCCCUGACGAGGCCUUCAUGCCAAAUUGAGGAUAGGGACGCAUCUUGGGCGUGACACCUUCUCCCUCCCGAGGCGCGCAAUAGGUCCGCCGCAACUCCCUGAAGCUUUCUAGCCACGAGCCGACGCCGAGACGCAGUCGUCUUCUUCCUCGGGUCGCCGAAGCUCGUCGUCGGCGUUCUUCCUCUCCAGGCCGUCCUCGACCAAGCUAGCGCCACUGCUGCACUCCUCGUGAGCUUGCGCAUCUUUCCCCUAAAUAUCCCCAUCAAUCCCCUCCUCUAGGCCUAGUUCCAUCGGAGCCCGACGAGAUCUGCCGUGGGAGCUCGUCGUCGGUAGCCCUCCGGUGAUCAGCUCGUCCUUCUGAGGCCACCGACAGCUUCAGGCCGUCGCGUAGAUGCCAUAGGAGCUAAGUCUUGUGCGUAACUCCCUCUGUAUCGAAGACCCCGAUGAUGCCCGAGCCUUGGCCGCCGCCAACCUCGUCGCCGGCGUCAUCUCCGGCCUGAUCAGCCCCAGCGAAGUGCAAAAAUGAACCCGCGGGAGAAGUGUCGUUCCUCUGGUGCUCUCCGCACCGAGUUUGGCCCCCUGUGCACCGUUUCCGAGCCCCUCCAACGUGCUGGUGCUCGCCGGAGGCUUCCCGCCGGCGAGGACGACCUCGCCGCCGGUGGAUCUCAGCUGGCCUGAGCCACUAACGUGUGGGGCCAGCCUCUGGGAGUUUAGAAACAAUAAAAAUCAAAUCAAAUAAUUUUAUAAGUCACUGACAUGUGGGUCCAGUGAGAUUAAUUAGCUAAUUAAGUUUAAUUUUAAUCUAAAACUGACGAGAGACACUGAUAAGUGGGUCCCGCUGGUCAGGUUUGACUUUCAACGACCAGUUGGACCUGCUGAUGUCAUGCUGAUGCAGUAAAGGGAUUUUCGAGUAUAAGAAUAAUUUCCAGAAAUGUUUAAAACUUCAAAAAUUCAUAGAAAUUAAUCUGUAACUCCAAUGAAAAUAAUUUAUAUAUGAAAAAGUGUCAGAAAAAUUCAAGGAAUCUCAAUAUGUCAUUUUCAAACAUGUUUGAAAAUGUUACAGAACCCAAACAUGUAGAUUAAUGAAUAAGUCAAUUCUUAUAAAUACUUUAUAAAUGGAUUAUGGAAAAUAUUUGAAUUUCACUAUGUCCUAAUUAUAAACCAGCAACCUAACAUGUCAUUCCAUGCAUGUUAACAUCAAGUUGAUCUGAGCAUCAGGUCGGAUGAAUUAAAAUGGUAUCCGAGAAUACCUCGUUUGAAGUGAUAUUUGAAUUUGAUUCAAAUCAACUUCAAACCUAAUACAUGUUAGUUAUAAUAGUAUAUCACCUUGCAUUCUCAUGCCAUGCUCAUGCAUCAUCUUGAUUGCAUAUGCUUGAUAUUGAUUGAUGUCAUUCCUUACUUUAGGCUCCGCUCCCCCGGAUUCCACCGAAUAUCCGUCUGACGGAUAUUGUCACUCCUCUGAGCAACAAGGCAAGCAACCAUUUUGAUCAUUCCGAUUAAUCCCAUGUUCUUGCUCCUGCACUUACUUAUUGCAUUAGGAUCAAAUGCUUCAAAUGCUUUUGCCACGUUAAUUGAACCCACUUCCUUUGCAUGACCUAUCCUUGUCACAGUAAAUAGCUGAACCUUGCAACCUAGCAUACCUGGUAGUUGCUUGAGCCGUGAUGUGCCUUAUCGUGCUAUGCAUGCUAUGCUUAGAGUUGUGUAUGGUCUGUCAUCUGGGAGAUGAACAGAAUUGUGAGAAUGUGUUCGGUAAGCAAAGGUUGUGUGUUGAACCUGAUUAGGUAAAGGUACCGGUGAAAUGCUGUGUAGGAGUACAUGGCGGGUUGUUUCAUUGAACCGUCCUUAGGAACUGAGUUCCGUGUAUGUAAUCCAAGACUAGAUACUACCACACGUUGGGAUACUUAAUUGACCCUCUCGACUUAUUAAUCGCUUAGUGCUCGGUCCAGGAGUUGCAAGUAGUUUCUGGUGUUUAUAGUCAUGCUGGAGGCCUUCAUAGCGCUGACCUGAUUGGUGGGCUGUGAUGCGGUAGGCAGUGGCACGGUGUACCAAGUGGCACCUGGAUGGUGGGCUUGGGAACCCUGCGCACAUCGUUUGGGGCCGUGGCGGAAACCUCGGCCGGAGUUCCGUGCGGGUUACCCUCAGAUAGGCGAUAAACCUGGACUAGGUACUAGUGUGGUUAACGGUCGUGGCCGACUCCCUCGCUAGGCUUCCGCUUGAAGGUUGCCGAGGUGCAUGACGUGCACAUGGCGAUAAGUGGCGAGAGCGUGUGUGACGAAGUACACCCCUGCAGCGUUAUGAUCUAUUCAAAUAGCCGCGUCCGCGGAUAUGGACUACUUGGAGACAUAUGUUGUUCAUAGAUAACUUCAAUGGCAACUCAUAAAAUUGUCAAGAUAAGCGUGAGUGUCGUGGACGGCAAUUCCGUAUGGAGACGGAAUGAUUCCACGACGGUGUAUUGAUUGUGGUUUUAGUGGACUCGUGUGCGAGAAAUCAAGUUGUCAAAAUUACUUUAAAAAUGCAAGUUGUCUAGCCACGAGUCAAAUGCUGGCUUUCCGCAUAAAACCCCACCAUACCUUGUUGAUACAUUGCAUGAGUAGUUAGUUAUCCUAAAGUCUUGCUGAGUACCUCCGUACUCAUGUUUGUUUAAUAAAUGUUGCAGAGGUUGCUAAUGACCCUAACAAAGGGUUCUUCAUAGACAUCGACGACGACAAGUAGCUAGUGUGCCAGCUACGAUCUGGCCCUAUGUUGGGUCUGUAGUAUAGUCAGGCCAUGUGCCUUUUAGUUGCACCUGUCUGUACUCAGACAGUGUUAAACUCUUGCGCUGGCUUGUAACUGAAUGACUGCUAUUAUGGGUCGUGAGACCCUUACUUUGUAAUAUUAUGUGUGUGGCUCUUCCGAGCCUCUUAAAUAAAGCUUCUAUGUUAUGGUUAUGUUGUGAUGCCAUCGAUGUAUCUAUACAUAUCGGUAUGCCAUGCGUACGUGUGUCGUACUUGAUAUGUAUGGGGUUCGAUUACCUAGUCGUGAAUUUAGUAACACUCCUUACAGGGAAAUGCCCCUUUGUGAUCCAACGAGCCAUGGUAGCUCGCUACUGCUCCGGACACAUUGGUUGACCGACAUGUGUCCUUCUUAGCUGUUGUGUCUGUCCCCUUUGGGGAAAUGUCACGCGAUGUAAUGGAGUCCUGGUAGCUUGCUACGACUCGUCUACACUCGCUGGUGACCGACACCUGCUUUGUUGGGUCAUGUAUGCAUGUCCUUGUGCGGUGCUGCCACUUUGGUUUAUGACUAGACUUGUCAAUCCGGGUUCUUUGACAUUGGAAUGCUAGCGACACUAUUGCAUACGUGAGUCAAAAGACGCAAACGGUCCCGGCUAAGGUAAGGCUACAGCCGUGGAGUUAACCGUGCGUGAGACCGCAAAGGGAUGCGAUGUGUUACAGGCUGGAUUCCUAUGGCUUAGGAUCGGGGUCCCGACACCCCCCGAUGUUACAACCACACAGUUAUUCGACCAUGUUACUAGGAUCAUUGGUGAUUAGUUGUUAGACGGGUGGAUUGUGUCGAUGGCCUAAUUAAAAUGAUAAUGUAUUUGGGUAUUUGAUCUGGGUUGGUCGGAAGGCCUUAUUACACACUAACCGUCUGCGUGGGAAGAAUUAUGGGUACUCGACGUCGCGGUAUCAGCCGAAGCUCUUCAGACGUCAGCGAUGUAGCGGUGCGCACCCGAGUGGUCCCGAGAUGCAUCUCUUGUAUUAAGGGGUGUUAGGACUGACAUCGGCCGCCCUCGCAUCGUGCAGGAGCGCGAAGGGCAAGUGGGCCCAUGACCCCUUUGUGCUUAGGAGUUAGACUGGCGGGCUGGCCUCUCUGCUGAGCUUAGGUGGGGCUGUGACGUGUCGAUAUUCCGAGGCCGGGCAUGACCCAGAAAAGUUUGUCCCGCCAGAGUGUUAUCCAGCGUGUCGGAGAAUAUGUUGUGCACCCCUGCAGGGAAGAACUUAUCUAUUCGAAUAGCCGUGUCCACGGUUACAGGACGACUUGGAGUUGUGACCUGAUCUUAUACAACUACAAUUGUUACUUAACUGGAUUUAGUUGCUCCGGGAUUGCUUCCUCGCAGGGAGUCGAGGGUGGAUCUUUGGGCGUGACCUCAUUUUAAUAUUGCUGCAGCAAUAUGACUAUUAUUUGUGUUACCUUGUUCUACUCUCGUUUUGUUGUUGCAAGACCCUUAAGAGGCUAGUCUUGAUAGGACUAGGCCUUCUCUCUAUUCUCGCAUUGUUUCGGUCAGUCCACAUAUAACCCCCUUCCUUGAUAGGACUAGGCCUUCUCUCUAUUCUCGCAUUGUUGCAGUCAGUCCACAUAUUCUUGCAUACUUAGCAUAGUUUUUAUGUAAGUCUUGCGAGUACUUUGGAUGAGUACUCGCCGUUGAUUUGCUCCCCCUUUUGCCCCCUUGAUCCGUUGCUGCGACCAUAUGAUGGAGCCCAGGAGAGGGAGUUUUCCUGCCGAUGCCUGCCGCCCCGAUGGUGUCUUCUUCAUGGAGGCCGCUGAAGACCAGGAGUAGUUUAGGAGGUUUCCAGGCAAGAGGCCUCUCCUCGUUCGAUCGUGUUUCUUUUGUGCUAGCCUUCUCUAAGGCACUCCAUGUUUAAUGUCUGUACUCAGAUAUUUGUUUCUUCCGCUGACUCGUGUGUUUCUCAAGCUUCUGUAUUCUAGCCCUCGAGGCCCCUGGCUUGUAAUAUGAAGCUUGUUUAUUUUAUUUGUGUCUCGUGUUGUGUUGUGAUAUCUUCCCGUGAUUCCUUGAGUUUGAUCGUACGCAUUUGCGUGUAUGAUUAGCGUACGAUUAAAUGGAGGGAGUCACAUCUCCACCUCCACCUGCAAGCUCUUACUGGUUGUCUAGGCCUCCGCCAAUGCUUUGUCCUUCUCCUCCAGUGUUUUCUUCAAAGAAGCUACAUCAUUUGUAGCCACCUCCAGGUUCACGGCCAGGUGUGUAUUCUCUGUAGUCAAAGGAGCAUAUGCAGAGCCUACUUCACAAGCUUUCUGAAAUGAUCAGAAGAGAAACACCAGUCGACGUAUAUCUCACUUCCGAGUGAUAAAGGCUUAAUUCGAUUGAAUAAAAAGGUAUGCUUCCAAUCAAACCCCUGCCGAUGCAAGCACUCGACAGCGGUCUCGGUGACUAGACCCAACGGGUUCACUCAGCGUGACCCCACUGAUUUAUCACUCGACCAUGUUUGUCCUGACGAGCCAAAAAGAUUAUACAUUCAAGUGCUUAAGACUAUUAUCAUUCACUAGCGAUUAAUAAUAGUCUGGGGGACUACACCCAGUGGGUGCACUUAGCGUGCCCCCAGUAGUUUCAACACUCAACCAGAUCAGCUCUGGCUGACCGCAAUCAACAAAAAUAAAGUCUCUAUUGAUGAAGACCCCUGCCAGUGCAAGCACUCAAAAGUGGUCUCGGGAACUACACCCAGUGGGUUCACUCGGAGUGACCCCACUGGAACAAAGAUAACACAAGGACAUUUGUACAAAAACACCAAGUGGGUGUGAGUCAGAAUUCAAACUUACUAUCGCAAUUACUCGGACGUUUUCUUGGAGCACCACGCUAUUGUUAUUCACCGAGACGAUGGCGUCAUAGGCUCCUUUCGCUUGUUGCGUCAUCAGCUCCGCCCGGAUCAUAGCCUCCUUGGAGGCACCAGUCUAGUCUUCUGGGAUACGACGCGUGGUGUACACAGUAGUGGGAGACAUCAACCCUGAGGUUGCAGCAGAAACAACUAGAGCGCCCGACUGUAACCCACUCGGUGUUGUGGUGACAACAACCGAACUAACAGGCGGGGCACUCACCACAGGCAUCUCCGCCAUAGGCACCUCAUACACAAUAGAUUCCACCUCAGCGGCAGACUGCCUUUGAUCAUAUCCAUCCAGUUGGACGACCUCUGUUGGCGGCACAGCCGGCAGACGGAAACACCAGAGGUUACAGCCAUAAAAUCAUACACAUGGAAGAGUAACAUAGAGUGGAAAAUCAGUAAUACCUAGCUGUGAAGUGGUUGCGUUCGCGGUAUCAACCUCCAUGGGGUCUCCCCCCCCCCCCCCCNNNNNNNNNNNNNNNNNNNNNNNNNNNNNNNNNNNNNNNNNNNNNNNNNNNNNNNNNNNNNNNNNNNNNNNNNNNNNNNNNNNNNNNNNNNNNNNNNNNNNNNNNNNNNNNNNNNNNNNNNNNNNNNNCCCCCCCCCCCGCCCCGCCCCCCGAGGCGGCGACGUCACAAAGGUAGCAGCUCUGUCAAUGCAAUUCCACUCGUUCAUCACCAACCAGAAAAGCUCACUCGGAUUAGAUGGAAAGAUUAAAUACUUAUGCAGAGGCGACUCACACGGCGAUCCUCAUUCUAGGUAGAGACUUCCCAGGUUUGGGUCCACUGGGAUUGGUCACCUUUGUACGAUGCUCCACACGUUCGCCAGACGAUCCCGUGAUGUGUUUGGCGCUCCUGCCACACGACGCCAACGGCUUUCUCGGAGUUCCCGUGGGGUCAUGAUGCUGCUUGGACCGGGGCUCAUGGCGAGAAGGUGACGAGUCUUCCUCCUCGCUUUCCUCUGACUCCUCCUCCUCGGUCUCCUCACAGUCUUCGACAUAUUCCUCGCUCUCCGCACUGUCCUCCAUGGUCCCCUCCUCGAUGUCGAGUGUGUUGUCGUUCGGGACCGGAGAAUGCAAAUUCGUCAAUGCCUGCAAGAUGCAACUCACAAGCUCGGUCGACAAGGAAAUCGAAAACACUCGGUCGUAAUGCAAAGAUAUUCAACAGAGCAGAGCUAACCUUAUUUGUCGGCAGGUUUUGAGUAGAGACGGGCGGGACUCUCUUCGCCCCCAUCGGAUUGUCGCAAGGACCGGCUAUUCCGCGGAUCCACUUCGCUACCGUGUCUUCAUCCACUUCUCAGGGUGAGACUGAGUGGAGUCCUCUGAGCCAGUAUAAUGCCACAUAUUGUGGUCCUGAACUUGGAGAGGCUGGAUGCCUCUUCCAAGGAAGGUCUCUAACAGAUCCAUCCCUGUCACUCCAUUGCCGACCAGAUUAAUCAGCGCCUUGACUAAAGGCUCCACCUGAGCUUUCUCCUCCUUCAUCGACAACAACGCCCUCGGAGCACUCGGUCGCUCUAAAGUAUAGGGCGGAAGUCCACUCGACAUAUUUGGCCAAGCGGCAUCAUUACAGUAAAACCAAGUGGCUUGCGAGUUGUGAACCGACUCGAGAAAGGUCAUGGGAGGAUAACUACUUUUGGCUCUCUACUGAAGUCCUAAGCCCCCACACAACUGGAUGACAUGGGUCUUGUCAUCAGUCGGAUUGACCUUCUUCACCGACUGAGGACGUAUAGUGAAGAUAGAAUUAAAAAGUCCCCAAUGGGGGGACUCCCCAAGAAACACUCGCAUAAGGUCACAAAGGCAGAAAGGUGGGAAAUGGCAUUCGGCGGGUAGUGAUGGAACUGGGCCCCAUAGAAGUUCAAGAACCCCGAAUGAAAGGAUGAGCUGACAGGGAGAAACCUCUUUCGACGUGGGUCAGGAGGAGGACCCGCUCUACCUCGCAUGGCUCUGGCUCGAUCUCAUCGCCAAAAAACUCCAAGACUUGUCUGCCAGCAUACCGUGCUCGACGAGAUCGAGGAGGUCGUCCUUCCGCACAACAGAUAGGAGGAAAUCCCCCUGGAUCCAGCCCGGUGCUAGAGCCUGCUUCCUAGGCUUACCGCCGCCCUUCUUCUUCGCCUUCUCCAGUUUGUUGAUUUGCCCUUUUGUCAUGGAUGCGGCGGCUAACGAGAAGGAAGAGCAGAGGAGAAGAAAGAGCCGAUGUCGUUCCCCAACGCUAGCACUGGCGACCUCUAUAACCAGUCGAUUGGGUCUCUGGAAGUGGGCCCUCAGCUUAUCCCCACGCUGUCCAUCGCGGGAUAUGUGGCGGAGAUAGAGGCGCGAGAAUCGAGGCUGCGCAUCCCACUUGAUUGCGACAAUGUCAUCGCCAUGUAGCGUGCGACAACCGAAGUUUCCAAAUCCCGGAAAAUCCGGGGCUGACAGGGUGACUGGUAACAUCAAAAGAUCUCGUCAGAUGCGUCGAUUCACUGGUUCACUCAAAUCCUUAAGUUCACUCAGACAUUUUGUUCCAAGGAGAAUUGAUCAAGGCGAAUGAUGAAGAUUUCAAUCGACAUCGAAUUCAGCAAAACUUUGAUGGGCAUUCAAAUUCAGUCUGCUAUAUCAAGAUUUACAGCUACACCUUUGCCACUCGAACCUCGAUCCAUUCGGGGGCUAAUGAUGGUGUUGUAGCGCUAGGGUAGGGUCAUAGGCCUGACCUAUAAGUCCUACCCAAGGGCACCUCAUUAUUAGCUUGAAGAUCACAAGAUACCUACCAACUGGAUUAAGACAACCUCUUGUCCACUUGGUAGGAAACCACUCGGAGGAUUAUUUUAUACUCGACGACUCGAUUCCACUCGGUGAAGACCAGAAGCCAGUCAACAUCAAAGGCCAGAAGCCACCCCAGGGAGGCCAACAGGCAUACAUUAGACUACCUUAGUUAUUAUCAUUUAUGGCAUAUGUUAUAUGUAACUAUGCAUUUAUUCUCACUUAUUGCACCCUUGAAGGCUCGAAAAUUAUGAGGGGCAACACACUCGAUAUAAGCCACGGUUCCCCACUGGCACAAGGGUUCGCAUUCUGUAACACAUAUAUUCCACUCGACACUAAAGCUCCAGAGCACUCAUACAACCUUGCCGUAGCUAGGACUCUGCCCUCUACUUUCCUACCCUACUCAUCUACUGUCAGGCUUAUUCCCAUAAAAACGCGUGGGGCUGGCCCUACAAACGCAGAGUGCUGAAGGAGCUCGAGAGUCUUAUAUCAUUGGAGGAGCAUCGGAGUCGCUCACACGUCGAGGGGGACCACUGAGCAUCGUGACUCAGGGGCCUAACUGCGCUCGUAGCCCAUCCCUCCUUUGGGCGGUCCUUGGUUUCCGGUCAGUUCAAUCGCGGGGAGGUAUGCACGGGGUGGGCCCUGCCGAUGCAGAGUAUGAAGGUGUUCCAAGUAUCGAAAUCUUCGUCAUGUUCUCGUCAUGAGGGAAGCUCGCGCGUCAAGGGGGACUCCUGAGCAUCGCGACUCGUGAGCCUAACUGCGCUCGUAGCCCCUUCCCCCUUUGGGUUGUCCUUGGUUUCUGGUCGGUUCAAUCGUGGGAAGGUAUGCGCGAGGAGGGCCCUGCCGUCACAGAGUAACACAUCAAACAUGACAGGAACAAGGCGGGGAAAACAUUCAAGCAUUCAAUUAUUACAAACCACGACCAUCUUUAUAAAAACACAAAUAAGUUUAACGCCUCCACGAGGCCCGAUGUCCAUUGUAGGAAAAUAACAGGGAUUGGGAAUUAGGAGGAGCCGCUACCGGUCACCCCCUCCGCAGGGGGCUGGUCGUCGACGUCAUAGGCAUCGUCUUCCCCAUCAUCGGCUCUAGUGUACCUGGAGACAAAGGAGCCGCGACGCGGGCGAACCUCCUCACCAGCGCCUCCACAGGACCACUCACCGCCUCUGUGGCGCGGUCGCGGGCCUUGGCAGGGACCGACACGAUCACGGAGCUCAGGUCGAAUCCAGGGUCGCGAAGAUGAAGGUGACUGAAGAUGCGAGUCGCAGCCGCGAACAAGAUGGUGCGGCAUUCGUUGUCCAAGAUCAUGUCCAUCUGCGUGACGGCAACGUCCAGCGCCGCGACGAGCCCCUUCACAAGCGCGGUGAAGCCAUUCUCCGGGGUGACCAGAGGCGCAUGCAACUUCUCUCGGCAGAGGGAGCGGAGCGCCUUGUGAAACCUGAGCUCGGCGCCGGGGAAGCAAGCCAGCUCAGUGGCCUUCCUCUUCUCGGCCGCGGCGAGAGCUCAAGGAUAGCCUUCCUCGUGGUGACCUCCUUCUCCCAUUCCUCCAAGCGCACCUGCUCCGUGCCGAGGCGGCUCGCCUCCCGAGACAGAUCAUCUUCCCGAGCGCCGAGCUUUUCUUCACGGACCUUAAAUUCCUCGUCCUGCAAGCGAUGCUGCUCGACCAACUCGGCUUGUUCCCCUAGAGAGUGUUCAGGCGGGCCUCCGCCUAUUCACAGCGCUCGACAGCCGCCUUGGCCUCCUUCAGCGCGUCCUCACGCAUGGUGCGGGCGACCUCGACCUUCCUCAUCUCGGCUGCGACACCACUCAGGGCGGUGAAGGCCGCAUCCAAUACGCCAUGGGUGAGCACAGAGGUCUUCCGGACCUCCUCCUGAAGGGUCUCCAACGCUAGUGAGGGUGGCGCUGCCGGAGGAUCCGUGCCACGGAGAACAAGAGGCCCCGAAAACUUCUCAAUAGUUGUGGGCGCCAACAUCUCCGGAGCUUGAGGACCCUCGCAGGCCUCCCCACCCGCAGACGGUGAUGCGCCGAAUAGAGCAGGCGGAGUGUGGGGAGUCGCCUUCGUCUUGAUGACCGUCUUCUUCCUCUUCGCCCCCGGCACAACGACAUCCCUGGACGUCAAGCAAAAAGGAGUAAAUCAGCCAAGCAUGGGCAAUAGACGCACAAGGGGUGCCCAAGCAGGUAACUUACUCUUCGACAUCGCGCCAUCUCUUCCUCUUCCCUGCCCCGGCUACAGCGGAGGAAACGAGCCCCCACGGAGGGGGGGCUUAGGGCCUUGGAUCUCCUACCGGCAGAAGAGGGGUGUGCUGGGGACGGCUCAGCCCCAAGCUUCCGGGAAGCGUGCACGCAUGCAGACCGCGUGGCGCGCGGAGUCGGCAUAGGCCCCCCUGCAGGCCCUGGCCAGGCGCAAGGGGGUCCCGAUGGAGCUAUCACUAGUGGCGCCAUCAUCCUCGAGCUCGCACAGAAGGACAGAUUGCGAGGGGAGAUGCACGCCCUCCGCGCGGUCGUCGAUGGUCUUCUCCGAGCCCCCUUCACCUGAGGUGUCGCCGGAAGACACCUCCACCGGACCGGAGCCUUCAGCCGUGAGGAGCCCCUCCUCAUUGAAGACAUGCAUCACAGCAACCAGGCCGGCCCGGUCAUCACGACGGUAUAAUGGAACCAAGGCCUCGGGAAUUUCGCCAGGCUCGCCACCCAGCAAAAUCGCCAUGACCCUCGUUGGGUCCUUUGUGGGAAAUUCCUGGGAACGAAGCUGGAGCUCGUUGUCGCCAGCUCGGUACUCCCACAGGGGCCUGGAGUGUGCCUGGAGAGGCGCCAAGCACUGCGCCAGGAACUCCUUUACUAUCAUUCCCUUGGUCAGCCUUUUGGCAUUGAUGUUGCGGGAAAAGUGCUCCCCCACGGGCACAACCAGACGGUCGAAGAGCUUCGCCGAGCUCCAUGCGGACGUCUUCUCCGGCAACACCUUCGGCUCUUCCAGCCGAGAGUUGGCAUCCUUGAGGCACAUAAGGACCCAGCGGUGCCUGAAGUUCACUACUUUGUUCCCGGCCUUCAAGAGCACGUUGCCGCUCUGGGCCUCCACGAAGGAAUCGCACACCGACAAAUGAGCGCCAUCAUGCAGGCGAGGCUGAAGAAGUGGCAGAGGAGGGUAACCGAAGUCUGCAAGUCAACGAAAGCCUCGCAGUAGAAGGCAAAGACGGACAGAAGCAAGAUGGAGUUGGGCUGGAGAUGAAGGGCUUGGAUCCCAUUGUGGUCCAAGACAACAGUGAAGAACUGGGAGAAAGGCGGCACCAACCGAGCGUAAAUACUGUGAAGGAAGAAGGGGUAUACCGCCCCGGGCACGGGGAGACUACUCCUCUAUGGCGCCAGGCCAGAUCAGGGUUCCCCAUGCUCGGUAGACUCGGACGCGGUCCAUGGGAGCAUGUGGACGAGAUCCGCGGCCUUCGAGAGGGUGCAGUCUAGGAGCGGAGAAGCCGGGGCCGGACCAUGCCCCUCUGGCUUCUCCUUGCCGGCUUGUGCCAUUGCUGAACUGGCAAGGAACUAUGCGGUGCUGGAUCUGGGAGGCGCCGGUUGGAGUCGGAGACCUAAGAAUAAAGGUGACUAUGGAAGAAGGAAAGCAAUAAGGCACCAAAGCUACAAGCGGGCCACCAAAUAAGGGGGCAGAGAUAGAGGACAAGGAGGACCCAACACCAGCCGCGUGACGUGCGCCGGUCUGGCCCACGACGUCUCAUACUGCCCCCCGAGGCUUCGCCUCGAAGCCAGCGAAAGCACUCCGCGGGCCCGGAGGCUACUGUUGGUGUCCUGGGAAUGGGCGUACCCAGACCUGCCUGCUUGUCGCCCAGGGCGAGCCCGCCUCGCCGGAACAAACCAACCUGCCCGGCGCCAUUUAAGGUAAGGCCCUCAUGAGGGGCUAAGCCUCACGCGGAGGAAUAGCGUCAAUACCCCCAGGGGCCUCCUCACGGCCCCUCUAGAGCUGCAGAUAUUCUGAGGCAUGUCCGGGCCUCAGGAGUCAAGGGUGAAGAAAGGAAAGGACAUGAGAGCAGCGAAUGUUAGGUGGGGCGGUUUCUCCUUUGGUGCAAAGGAGGUGGGAGUGUACAAGGGUUCCAAAGGCAUAUCCCAAAGGUUUCCCUUCUGGUGCAACAAAGUUGCAGACGCCCGCUAGUAGGAUAAACGUCACCCACGGGCCCGUCUCUGCAGCCCGGACAGUUACUUUGCACGCGAAGACCACCUUUGGGCAGGGGAGCAUGUUCCCCUGUUCCCCUUUAAAAUUGGCUGUUGUGGGAUCCCUUCCCGCCGAAGCUAUGAGGGAAGCGGACCCGUGCCUUCGCUAUAAAUAGAGAGGGUAGGAUACUUGAGAGGGAGAGUUCACUCAGACGGUAGAACAAUACACCUAGCCACUUGGCCUCCGGAGGCUGAAGACCACUGUACUAAUUCAUCCACCACCUCCGCGAGAGGCAAUCCACUAAAAGCAGGAGUAGGGUUUUACGCUUCACAGCGGCCCAAACCUGGGUAAACUGUUGUGUCAUGUGCUACCCUCGCCAUCGAGUGAGUUUUUGGUCGUUUCCAACGAGUAGUGGGCUAGGUGAGGCAAAGCAGGGAGAGAAUUCGUUCACACCCUAGUGUUCGAGUCCUUAGCAUUUUGCGGAGCCCGAAAUCCGACAGCGAUCCAGGCAGGGGAAACACGCGGCUCCAUCCGCGCCCUCAGCUGCCCCCGAGAGCAGUGGUGGAGGGCCCUCAGUGUCGCCGCGCGUCCGCCACCGCUGGGCUGUGACCGAUGACUAAAUCUCUCGUUUGCACCCCCUUUCCUAGUUGUCCCAUCUGCUGCUUAGUGGUUGAUCUUCCCUUUUCUCUAGAGUGCCCGCAGCCAAGAAGCUCAACAUCGGCGAGCUUGAGUAAGAGGUGGCGGGGCUGCGGGCUCAACUGGAGAGUGCCGAGGCCGCCCUCUAGGACGCCCGCCACGGUGAAGCGGAGACCAAGGCGGAGUUGGCUUCACUGCAGAGACAGGUCCAGGAUGCAGUCGAUGUCGUUCAGGCCGCCCAGCACGAGACGACGUAUGCCCAGAUGAUGGAGUGUUGUCGUGCCAAGCAGUUCGCGAGCAUCGUUGUCUAGGAGGCACGCGCGACGUGCUGAUUCGUGGGGUAUUCCCCGGCGCUGCCAAGGGUGAGCAGCGACACGGGCUACCUCGCCUUCGUCCAGAAGGUGGUGGAGACGCUGGAGGCCGGCGUCUCCUGUGUGUAGGAGGACAACGCGUCCAACGCACGCGAGCUUCUGGGCCUUGUCUUGACGCUCGUAUUCUCCAACAUCCGCCGCUUCGGCCCGCAGCUUGAUCUCCAGCGCGUCGUCGAGCCGGUGCCCGCUGAGUCCCGGUGUCUUCUCCGGGACAAAGUGUGCCGUCGCGUGGACGCCUUGGUGGAGCAAUACAUUUGGGUGCCCAUCUCCAGUGAAGAGGAGGGCUCCGACGCCGAGCCUGCCGACGCCAAGGGCGGUGUCAAUGGCCUCUCCCCUAGGCAUCCCCCAGCUUGUGUUUUCCUGCCCCUCUAAUGUUGGACCAUGAAAUAUGCCCUGUCGGGCGUUAGACUUUUGUAUGUUACCUUCGUCGUUCUCCCUUUUUCCUUUCGCUCUUGAAUCGAUGGCUUGCUCGCUUGUAAUCAUUGCGGCUUAGGUCUCUUGCAUCGGGCCCGUUGACGACCCAUCCGUUGCUCGGGGGCAACGGUAGCCAGAGCCCAUCCUCCCGAGCCACGCUUGGUCGAUGACCUCAUUCCUCGCCGCAACUUAGUCCUUAGGCCCUGCAUCCUUUCAUUAGUAUGCGUGUUUUUAAUUUGUUCUUGGUCCGACGCGAAGCUAGAUGGCCCUGUCUGGGCCUGCAUGGUACUUAGCUCGUGGGUUUGUGCCCCCGCUUCCGAGUUUCUCCUGAGUAGCUCCUGCAUUGUCGGUGAGACGGGAUGGAGACCUUUUCGGCACUCUAUGUCUGUGGGGCCCGGUCCCGCACAUUCCGUGCCGCCAUGAGGCGCAACCCGUUACCAAGGUUCUUCCUCACGGGGCAAAGCCCCGAUACCCUGGGUGCCGACAUGGGCGACACCUCGGUGGCCGAGUGGCUUUGCAACCAAUAAGGCCCCUGAGGCAUGUUGCUCAGGAGUCCCCCUUGACACCCAGGCUGCUCUACGUCGACAGGCCCCGGUCCCACACAUUUCCCCACCGCCGUUAGGUUUGACGCACUUCACGGGGCGGGGCCCCGCCGCCCCGACACCGACCAGAACUCCAGGCCAGCACCAAGGGUGGCGAGUGGCCUUGUGAAUGGUAAGGGUCCUAAGGCUCGAUGCUCAUAAGCCCCCUUUGACGUUCAAGCGAUUCCCCAUUCCGUCCCUUUGUUCAUCAUGCCAAGGCGCCCUGAGGCCUCCUGAGACACUUUGUGGUGGUAUCGUGCUUCGAUCCGGGCCCCCGAGCGGGGGUCAACCACUGAAAAUAUUUGCCCCUGGGAUAGAAAGUCCUUGCUUUCACGCCCCUUGGCGCCUAGGGGCAUUGCGGAGCCCUCAGCUCCUCAGAAUAUGUCAUCCAGAGAAAGAGGCUUCAAAGGCGGUGAAACGAGAAAGCGCAAGUGAAAAUCCCCCCCCCCCAUUUUGUUUUUCAAACAUCAUCUUUUGAAAUUUGCAAAUUUAAGCUCCAGGAAGAAGCACGCAAACGCCGCAUCCAGCACCUAGACUAAACUCCACCACCAUCUCCCCCAGUGCAGAGCAUAGUGCUUCCACUAGGCAUGGGAGGGACCCCUCCGCGUCCUCGGUGGGGCCCAGGCGUAUACAGCCGUAGCUCGUUAUUACGUGAGAGUGUCACGGUGGAGGUGUAUCCGGGAGGUCGCGAGGAUGCUUUGGCCUUGCGAGUGUCCCUACCCCUAAGGCAUAGGUGCCUGAUUCCUUUUGGGUCAUUGGUGGACUGAGUUGAUUGCCUCCGUCUUCUCCCCAGCGCGGAGAGUAGGGCUGCCACUAGGCAUGGAAGAGACCCCCUCCGCGUCCUUGGGGGGCCCCGGGCGUAUACAGCCUCAGCUUGUUAUUACAUGAGAGUGUCACGGGAUAAAGUACGAUCCGGAAGGAUUAAAGGACGAUGCACAGGUACCACGGGUUGAUGCGUGUCUCAUGGGGACUGUAGGGCGAACAUGAGGGCGCUCCGGCUUCGUGAUAUUUCCUCCUUCUCCUGAGACUGGUUGAGGGCUUUUCUAUUGUUCUACGUCGGCACGUCCCAGUCCUGCACAUUUCUGUGCCGUUGUGAGGCUCGACUCGUUACCAAGGUCGUUCCUCACGGGGCAAGGCCCUGACACCCGUGAUACCGACCGAAUGUGCCUGGGCGGCACCAGGGUGGCCAAGUGGCUUUGCGACCGGUAAGGCUCCUGAGGCGCGAUGCUCAGGAGCCCCCUUUGACGUUAGAGCGGCUCUACGUCGCAAAGACCCGGUCCCGCACAUUUUCCAACCGUCGUUGCUUGCGACCGAAUGGACGAACACAGCUACAGGCUCAAGCCCUGCCACCCCUGAUAAUGACCUAAUGUCCGUGGACGGCAUCAAGGGUGGUAGGUGGACUUAUAUCGCUAAGGGCCCUAAGGCUCGAUGCUCAGGAGCCCCCUUUUGGCGCUCAAGCGGACCCCAUUUCAUCAUGUUGAUUGUGGACCUAGAGAGCCGCGGGGCCUCCUCAGGUCCCGCGACGGGGCGACGUGCACUGGUCGGAGCCCCCGAUCGGGGGGGGGGGGGGAAAAAAAAAAAAAAAAANNNNNNNNNNNNNNNNNNNNNNNNNNNNNNNNNNNNNNNNNNNNNNNNNNNNNNNNNNNNNNNNNNNNNNNNNNNNNNNNNNNNNNNNNNNNNNNNNNNCCCCCCCCGGGGGGGGGGGGGGGGGAUAGAUCGCCCAAAUAUGCAAGCACGCAAAGAUGUCAGAUCGUCGAAUGGAUAUAGCAGAAGUUAUGGAAGCAUGCGUAAAUGAUAUGAUGGGCAGAGGUGUGCCUUGAACACUUGAAGUUCAUGUGGCCAGCAGACACCCCCUAGAGAAGUGAACCCAAAAAAUUACCUCGCAUAGCUUCUUCGCGCCUGAGGGGUGCCACGUGAGGCUCGGCCCUCGGCGCCCACACCAGCACCAUGGUCGCCAUAGGUGAUCCGCACCACUUGUGUCUCGUUGCUUUCUCUGACUCAUCCUCCUGAGGCCGGGGACCCGGUUCUUCACAAUUUUUCCGCGGGGGCGGCGGCUAGCGUCAUGCCCCGCAGCUUGCGGGCACCUCCCUGCCCGCGCCUCUUGGGCCCAGUGCUCCGCCAACGGGAGCCUUAGGUCCGGCUCAAGGAGGACCCCUAGAGCGUUCAUUACUCCCGAGAAGGACGCGCAUGGGGUGGACGCUUGAGGCUUUUCCUCGAUGGGAGGGUCACGUGGUGUUACAUAAUUUGGUACGUAAGGCUCCACGUAGGUGUUCGAUCGACCUCCUAGGCCGUUCAGCAGCGCGACGGUGGCGAUGCCUCUCUGCGGUGGGGGGAGGUCCCCCCAGUCGCGUUGGUCGGAGAUCUUCUUGCGAUGUGCCUCCACACGAACCCGCUUGCUCCUGCUGCGGCCGUUGGGUGGUCCCGACAUUGCCCGAUGCAGACUCCCCCCUUGGUACCCUGGCGUGUCUCCAUUGUCGUAGUUCGCCCGCGCCAACGCCUCCGCCGCCCACUGGCUAAGCCUGAGGGAGCGCUCCUGCGUGUCCGCCCCGGGUUGUCGGGGUCUACCUGGUCUUGUAGAUGCGCACUGGUGUGUGCAUCGAAUGUCCUCCCUUACUCUGCGCACCCCAGGUGGUUGCCGACAUGUUGCGCCUUGAGGCCGGCCACCGGAAUCUAGAGGAGCAGGCGGGUAGCAUGUGACGCGUCUAUCUCGGCCCCGCCCACCGCUGGAGGGGCCUCGCCACUUGCAGGCUCGAGGACUGGCACGAGGUGCGAGCCCCUCGCGCCUGGCGCUUGUGGCCCUAAAGAAGAGUAGGGUCGGAUGGCCUUUUAGGCGAUGGCGAUCAACUCCGUGAUGUGGUCUGCCCAGGCGUCGAAGCCCCCUUGCGUUGGUCGUUAGCAGAGCAGCUCGCUCACCAUCUGCAGGGCGUCGUGCGUGCUGAGGUCCCCCAAGUUGAUGCGGCGUGUCAUGCAUGACGGGGUCGUCACCCACCCACCGUGCGAGUGGGUGGCGCGGGUGGUUACGAUGGUGUAGACGAUGUGGAGGAUCUGGUACGAGCGCCUGGUACCACAAGGCCGAUACACGUGCUUUUGGCAGCUGUGGUAUGACGGUUGGAAGCCCGCUCGACAAGGCUCGAAGAAGCUUGUUGGGUGUCGGUCAUCGGAUCAGCGGGGAUUAGGGAAGAUGAACCUCGGAGAAGACCUUCACACACCCCCUACCUGGCGCACCAAAUGUCUGAUUUCGAGCUCCGCAAAACCCUAAAGAUUCGAACUUAGGGGCGUGUACGAAGAUCUCUCGCGGGCUCGCCUCACCUAGCUCGCUACUCACUGGGAUGGCAAGAAAUCACUCGAUGGUGAGGAAGACACCGAACACGGCAGCUUACCCAGGUUUGGGCUGUUGAGAAGCGUAAUACCCUACUCAUGCUUUGGUGGAUUGCCUCUCGUGGAGGUUAGUGGAUGAACUAGUACAAUGCUCGAGGGCCUCCGGAGGCUGGGUGGCCUUCGUGUGGUGCCGGUGGGUGAAUCAAUGGAUCUGAUCCCCCUCUAUGAAUUAACCUACUCUAUAUAUAGUGGCGGCCCCGGUCGUGUUCCCUAAUCAUUUCGGCGGGAAGGAGUUCCACAACGGCCAAUUUUGAAGGGGACAGGGAACAUGCUCCCCUUCCCAAAGGUGGUCUUCGUUUGCAAAGUGGCUGUCAACGCAGCAGUGAAGGGUCCAGGGAUGACGUCCGUCCUGCUAGCGGGCGGUGGUGGUCUUGUUGCACCUGAAUGGAAACAUUUGGAAGAUGCCUUCGGAACCCGCUUACGUCCUUCCCCCCUUUGCACUAACCGGGAAACUGCUCCGUCCUGUUGUAUGCUACUCGCCUAUCCUUCCUCUGCGUCAUCCUUGACUCCUGAGGCCGCGUCUCGCCUCGGAAUAUCCGCCGCUCCGGAGGGGUCCUGAGGAGGCCCCCUGUGGGUCUUCAUGCACUUCCUUAUUGCGUGGCUUGGCCCCUCGCGAGGGCCUUGCCUUGAGUGGUGCCGGGCCUAUUGGUUUUUGAUUGUUGAAGUGGGCUAAGCCCUCGGCGCGGGCAGGCACGUCUGGGAACCCCCAUUUCCAGAACGCCGAUAGCAUGGCCCGUGACAGGAGAGGCACGCUCGUCGGGAAGUCAUCGAUGGUCCUCUCCGAGUCCUCCCCACCGAAGGUAUCGUCCGAUGACACCUCUACCGGACCAGUGCCCUCGGCAGGGAAGAGCCCCCGCUCAUCGAAAACAGGCAGCAUGGCGAUCAGGUCGGCCCGGUCAUCGAGACGGUAAAGUGGACCCAGAGCCUCGGGCAGGUCACCAGGGCCACCGCCCAGCAGGGUCGCCAUGACCCUGUUCAGCUCCUCAGUAAGAAGGUCCUCGGACCGGAGCCUGACUUGUCGUCACCGAACUGGUGGUCCCACAGUGGCCUGGAAUGGGCCUGAAGGGGCACCAGGUGCUGCACCAAGAAUUCCUUCACUAUCAUCCCACCGGUCAGCCUAUUGGCGCUGAUGUGCGGGAGAAGCGCUCUAGGAUGGGCACGGCCCAAGGGUCGAAAACCAUCGCCGAGCUCCAAGAAGAAGUCUUCUCCGGCAGCCCCUUUGGCACCUCCAGCCGAGGAUUCGAAUUCUUGAGGCUCAUCAGAACCCAACGGUGCGUGAAGUUUUCCACCUUCUUCCCAUCCUUCAGGAGCAGAUUGCCGCCCUGGGCCGCUACGAAGGAGACGCAUGCUGACAAAUGAGCGUUGUCGUGCAGGCGCAAUCUGAAGAAAUGGCGGAAGAGGGCUACCGAAGGCUGCACACCUACGAAGGCCUCGUAGUAGAAAGCAAAGACGGACGGGAGAAAGAUGGAGGUGGGCUGGAGGUGAAGGGUCUGGAUCCCAUAGUGAUUCAGGAUGGCGGAGAAGAACGAGGAGAAAGGUGGCACCAGCAUGGCGAAUAAGCUAUGGAGGAAGAAGGGGUAUACCACCUUCAAAGCGGGCCGCUUUGCUGUGGCGCCAAGCCAAAUCAGGGUCCGCCCGUGCUCGCUGGACUUGGCUUUCAUCCAUGGGAGCAUGGGGGCAAGAUCCACAUGCUUGGAGAGGGCGCACUCCAGGACCGGAGGAGCCGGGGCAGGACCUUGCGUCUCUGGCUUCUACUUGGCGGGGGGCGCCAUCGCUGAACCGACAAGGGAACAACAUGGUGGUGGAUCUGGGAGACGCGAGUUGGAGUUGGAGACCGAGGAAAAAGAGUGAGUGCGGGAGAAAGGAAAGCAAUAAAAAAUUGACGCAACGUGUCACGUUCCUAAUAGCUUGGGCGGAGACCGAAGGCAAGGGAGACCUGACAUCAGCCGCGUGACGCGCACCGGCCUGGCCCACAGGAAUUUAGGGCCCGCGGUGCCGUAGGCUGCCCCCAAGGCUUCGCCUAGAAGAAGCACGAGCAUGCCUUCGGCCCGGGGGCUACUGUCGGCAUUCUGGGAAUGGGGGUACCCAGACUUGCUUGCCUGUGGCCCAGGGCUGGCCCACUUCAUCAAGCAAGAACAAUCGGGCGCGGCACCUCUGAAGGCAAUGUCCUCGCGAGGGGCCAAGCCUCGUGAGGAGGAAUAUGUCGGUGUUCUGGGAAUGGGGGUACCCAGACCUGCCUGCCUGCGGCCUAGGGUUGCCCCCACUUCAUCGACCAAAAACCAACAGGCCCGACACCACUCUAGGCAAGGCCCUCGCGAGGGGCCAAGCCUAGAAAAGAGGAACAACAUCAAGACCCGUAGGGGGCCUCCUCUGGAACCCUCCGGAGCAGUGGAUAUUAUGAGGCGAGACCCGACUUCAUGAGUCGAGGAUGACGCAGGGGAAGGACAGAUGAUCAACAGAAAAUAGGACGGUGCAAUUCCCCCUUUAGUGCAAAGGGGGCGAGGAAGCACGUGGGUCUCCAAGGCAUCUCCCAAAUGUUUCCAUUCUGUUGCAACAAGGCCACCACCACCCGCCAGCAGGACGGACGUCAUCCAUGGACCUGUCCCUGCUGCGUUGACAGCCACUUUGCAGGUGAAGACUGCUUUUGGACAAGGGGACCAUGUUCCGCUGCCCCCCUUUAAAAUGGGCCAUUGUGGGCUCCCAUCCCACCGAAACGAUAAAGGAAGAGGACCGGGGCCGCCAGCAUAUAUAGAGAGUAGGUUACUUAUAGAGCAGAGAGGAUUCAUUCGCCCAUUUUCACCACACAAAGGCCACCAAGCCCGAGGAGGCUCUCGAGCGAUGUACUAGUUCAUCUCCCAACCUCCACAAGAGGAAAUCCACCAAAGAAGGAGCAGGGUAUUACGCUUCUCAGCGGCUCGAACCUUGGUAAACUGAUGUGUUAUGUGUCUUCCUCACCAUCAAGUUAGUUCCUUGUCAUCCCCAGCGAGUAGUGAGUGAGGCGAACCAAAGCUACCAACUGGCCUCCGCACGCGCCCCCGAGUUCGACUCUUUAGGGUUUUGCGGAGCCUGAAAUCCGACAUUUGGCGCGCCACGUAGGGGGAGCGUGUCAGAGCCUCCACGCCAACAACAAGAGCCAGAACUCGACUCGGUGACUCCAUGGCAAGCGCGAGAACCGACACCCGCCAGUCUCCCGCGGUGGAUGGCGUCCAGGCGAGCAGGGCAACCCCUGCAUUCUCGGCGGAUCGUAGGCGCCACCUUCCACCCGUCACGUAACGCGUUUCCUACAAUGCGAGGGGGCGGUUCACCCAAGGCCCGAGCCCGCAGAACAUCGCGUAUGGCCGGAGGUCAACAUCACCUUCGGCCCCAAUGAUCACCCCAAGGCCACGACGGGCACCGGGACUCUUCAUAUGUUGUGUACACCGACUAUAUGCGACGUGGCCAUCUCCAAGACAAUCAUCAAUGUCGGUGCGGGUCUAAACGUCAUCUUAGUAGAGGCCUUCGACGCGCUGCUUUUGACCCGAGAGCGGCUUGCGCCUUCAAAGCCCUUCUCCGGAUGGUGCCAGGAUCUGUCACCCCUGUGGGACGGAUUCGUCUCCCCGUCACUUUUGGCACCCUCUCCAACUUCCGUACCGAGCAGAUCAAAUUCGACGUCGCCCGCAUCCACCUUCCGUACAACGCAAUACUCGGCUAACCCGCCCUCGCACAAUUCAUGGCAGCAACACACCGAGGCUACAACGUCAUCAAGACGCCUGGGAGCGACGGCAUGCUCACCGUCGUGGGGGACGUCAAGGACGCAUCUUGGGUACUCGAGCUCUCCAACAAGGCGGCGACCGUGGCACGUGCCAACCUUAGAGAUGCGACGCACGCCACGGAGGACACUGGGGACGUCCUUGACGUCGCGCCCAUGAAGAAGAAGCAAUUGUUCUCCCACGACUGGGCGGAAACAAUGCAAGUGCUGGUGGAUGAAGGAAGCUCGGCUCCCACCUUCAGCAUCGGCGCAAACCUCCCCCAAGACCAAGAGAAGGCAUUGAUGAGUUUUCUCAGGGCGAACAAGGGCGCGUUCGGCUGGAGCACCUCCGACCUGGUGGGGGUACCGAGGGACGUCAUUGAGCACCAUCUCAUGGUGUGCCCGAAUGCGCGCCCAGUAAAUAGAAGGCAAGCCCCAGAGAACCAAACGUUUGUCGCUCAGGAGGUGCACAAACUGAAGGAGGCACGGGUCAUUCGAGAGGUGCGCUAUGCGGAAUGGGUGGCCAACAUGGUGGUCAUCCCGAAGAAGUGCGGGAAGGAGCGCAUGGGCGUCGACUUGACGAGACUCAACAAGGCUUGCCACCAGGGCCCGUUCCCGCUACCACGCAUCGACCUGAUAGACUACUCCACCACGGAUUGUGAUCUCAUGUGCUUCCUGGAUGCAUUCUCGGGCUACCACCAGAUCAAGAUGGCGGUGGAGGACGUCGAGAAGACAGCCUUCCUUUCUCCAUGUGGGGUAUACUGCUACGAGUGCAUGCCCUUUGGGUUGCGGAACGUCGGGGUAACCUUCCAGCUGUUGAUGCAUAUCGUUGUGGGACCGCACCUCGGCAGGAACGCACAUGCCUACCUCGACGACAUUGUGGUCAAGUCAAGGCAGGCAAAAACCCUGGUGGAGGACCUGGAGGAAACCUUGCCAACCUAAGAGAGGUGAACCUGAAGCUCAACCCCAAGAAGUGCCUCUUCAGGGUCCCAUCAGGCAAACUGCUCGGUUUGCUGGUGUCGCACCGGGUGAUCGAGGCAAACCCGGUGAAGGUCAAUGCCAUAAACAAGAAGAGCGUGCCCACAACCCUCAAGGAGAUGCAGAAGUUGGCAGGGUGUGUUACCUCCUUGGGUUGUUUUAUCUGCUAGCUCAACGAGCAGGCCCUGCCUUUCUUUAAGAUCAUGAAAACAAAGGGGGCCUUCGAGUGGACCCCGGAGGCCGAUGCACCCUUCAAUGAACUCAAGCGAUACCUCAGGACCCUGUCGGUCAUGCUGGCGCCUUGCCCACGGGAGCCUCUACUUCUGUACCUUCCUACCACCCCCACUCCGCCAACUCCGUGUUGGUGGCAGUAAGGGAGGAGCGUGUUGGGGAACGUCGCAUGGGAAACAAAAAUUUCCUACGCGCACGAAGACCUAUCAUGGUGAUGUCCAUCUACGAGAGGAGAUUUGGAUCUACGUACCCUUGUAGAUCGCACAGCAGGAAGCGUUAAGAAAGGCGGUUGAUGUAGUGGAACGUCCUCACGUCCCUCAAUCUGUCCGCAAACCGUCCCACGAACCGUCCCGCGAUCCGUCCCACGAUCCGCUCCGAUCUAGUGCCGAACGGACGGCACCUCCGCGUUCAGCACACGUACAGUUCGACGAUGAUCUCGGCCUUCUUGAUCCAGCAAGAGAGACGGAGAGGUAGAUGAGUUUUCCAGCAGCUUGACGGCGCUCCGGAGGUUGGUGGUGAUCUUAUCUCAGCAGGGCAAAAGUUGUCUCAAAUCAGCCCUAAUACCUCAGUAUAUAUUGGAGGGAGGGGAGGGACCUAGCCUUGAGGCUCAAGGAGUCACAAGGGGUCGGCCCAAGUGGGGGGGAGGAGGAUUCCUCCUCCAAUCCUAGUCCAACUAGGAUUGGAAGGUGGAGUGCUUCUCUAUUUUCCCACUUCCCUUUUUUUUCUUUUCUCUUUGAUUUUCUUUCUCUCCUGCGCAGGGGCCUUCUUGGGCUUUCCCACCAGCCCACUAAGGGCUGGUGUGGCACCCCUAAGGCCCAUGGCCUUCCCCGGGGUGGGCUGCCCCCCCCCCCCCGGGAAAACCCCCNNNNNNNNNNNNNNNNNNNNNNNNNNNNNNNNNNNNNNNNNNNNNNNNNNNNNNNNNNNNNNNNNNNNNNNNNNNCCCCCCCCGGGGGGGGCCCCCCCCCCCCCCCCCGGUGAACAUCCGGAACCCAUUCGUCACUCCUCGUACAUUCCCGGUAAUGCCGAAAACUUUUAGGUAACCAAAUGAGGUCAUCCUAUAUAUCGAUCUUUGUCUACGAACCAUUCCGGAAACCCUCGUGACAUUCGUGAUCUCAUCCGGGACUCCGAACAACAUUCGGUAACCAACCAUACAACUCAAAUACGCAUAAAACAACGACGAACCUUAAGUGUGCAGACCCUGCGGGUUCGAGAACUAUAUAUACAUGACCCGAGGGACUCCUCGAUCAAUAAUCAAUAGAGGGACCUGGAUGCCCAUAUAGGAUCCUACAUAUUCUAUGAAGAUCUUAUCGUUUGAACCUCAGUGCCAAGGAUUCAUAUAAUCCUGUAUGUCAUUCCCUUUGUCCUUCGGUAUGUUACUUGCCCGAGAUUCGAUCGUGAGUAUCCGCAUACCUAUUUCAAUCUCGUUUACCGGUAGGUCUCUUUACUCGUUCCGUAAUACAAGAUCCCGUGACUUAAAAUAAGUUCACAUUGCUUGCAAGGCUUGUGUGUGAUGUUGUAUUACCGAGUGGGCCCCGAGAUACCUCUCCGUCACACGGAGUGACAAAUCCCAGUCUUGAUCCAUACUAACUCAACGGACACCUUCGGAGAUACCUGUAGAGCAUCUUUAUAGUCACCCAGUUACGUUGUGAGGUUUGAUACACACAAGGUAUUCCUCCGGCGCGAGUGAGUUAUAUGAUCUCAUGGUCAUAGGAAUAAAUACUUGACACGCAGGAAAUAAUAGCAAUAAAAUGACACGAUCAGUAUGCUACGUUCAUAGUUUGGGUCUUUUCCAUGACAUGAUUCUCCUAAUGAUGCGAUCCCGUUAUCAAGUGACAACACUUGUCUAUGGUUAGGAAACCUUGACCAUCUUUGAUCACCGAGCUAGUCAACUAGAGGCUUACUAGGGACAGUGUGUUGUGUAUGUAUCCACACAUGUAUUUGAGUUUCCAAUCAAUAAAAUUCAAGAAUGGAUAAUAAACGAUUAUUAUGAACAAGGAAAUAUAAUAAUAACUAAUUUAUUAUUGCCUCUAGGGCAUAUUUCCAACAGAGCGAACCAGUAAUGGCGCCACUUCGAUGAACCCCGUCGGGCCCCCACCCGACGGAGUCUGGGGGCUCGCACGACUCAUGAGCCCCGAUUCCCCCGCAGGCAGAGGGACCUGAGGCUCAGACUGCAGGGUCGGGCCAUGAGAUGCUUAGCCCUCCUAAGUCCCCGGCCCCUCCUCCGGAUCACGAGACACCCGAACCUCUUGAGCGCACCGAGGAGCAUGACGCCCCGGAGGGCUGCAUCCUCGUCGAUCACCCGGUGUACUUCCUCAGCAAGGUGCCAUGCAGCAGAAAGUCCUUCUAGCGCUCCUCGUUGCUUCGCGCAAGCUGCGCCACUACUUUCAGGGGCACCCAAUCAAGGUCAUCUCCCCUACCCCUUAGAGAAGAUCCUGCAAAACCCAAACGCGGCGGGAAGGGUUGCGGAAUGGAACUUCGAGCUUCAGGCCUUCAACAUCAAAUUCAGCACGACCAGGGUCAUCAAGGGAGUGGCCUUGGUUGACUUCGGGGCGGAGUGGACGGACGCACCGGACCGGAGGCUGGAAGGGAACCAAUCCCUUACCCCCGGUGUGGAGGCAACCAAGGGAUGAACCAUGCACUUUGAUGGAGCCUUCACACGUAGAGAAACAGGGGCUUGAGUCAUGCUCACUUCCCCGACGGGAGACAAGCUCCGCUAUGCUGUACAGCUCUGCUUCCAGCAUGGGGAAAGGUCUCCAACGAUAUAGCGGAUUACGAGGGCCUCAUCACCGGCCUGAAAGCAGCGGCGGCCUUGGGAGUCCGGCGCCUCGCCGUGAUGGGCGACUCCUUGCUUCUCGUCAACUUCUCGAACAAAGAGUAGACACCCAAGGCCGAGCACAUGGAAGAGUAUCUACAAGAGGUACGUAAGAUUGAGAAACGUUUUUAGGGCCUGGAGUUGCAGUACGUCCCACGUGGCAAGAACAAGGAGGCGGAUGACAUCACCAAAAGAGCUUCACGUCACGAGGCGCAAGAGCCGGGCGUCUUUGAGGAGUGACUCUUCAAGCCUUUCGGGACGCCGUCACCCGAGGGCCCGGCGCCAUGUGGAGAGGAGCUCCCGCCUGCACUGCCCUUGGGGGUUCCGGAUUGCGGCCAGGGCUCGGGGGCUCGACUGCUCCUCGCCCUGGAGGCGCGUGCCGAUGAUCGGAUGUAGGAAAUCGGGGCGUACAUGCUCCAUGGCACAUUGCCGGAGAUGGAGGAAGACGCGGAAUGCGUAGGAUGACAAGCCUCGACCUACUGGUUAUGGGACGGUGACUUGUACCGCACGCGCACGAACGACGUCGCGCUGUGGUGCAUUUCCAGGGAGCAGGGGCGCGAACUAGUGGACGACAUCCAUGGAGGGGACUACUGGCAUCAAUCCUCUUCGCGCACGCUCGGAGGUAAGGCAUCUAGGUCAGGUUUCUACUGGCCUACAGCGUUGCACGACGCCACCGAGUUGGUCCGUGUCGGUGUUUUGGGAAUGGGGCUACCCAGACCUGCCUGCGUGCGGCCCAAGGCUAUCCCACUUCAUCGACACAAGAUUGAGUGGCAUGGCACCACCCAGGACAAGGCCCUCGCGAGGGGCCAAGCAUCGCGAGGAGGAGCGGCAUCAAGACCCGCAGGGGGCCUCCUCAGGACCCCUCCGGAGCGCCAGAUAUUUCGAGGCGAGGCCGAGCCUCAUCAGUCAAGGCUAACGUAGAGGAAGGAUGGGCGAGUAGCAGAAAGCAGGCGACACAGUUUCCCCUUUAGUGCAAAGAGAGCAAAGGCAAACGCUGUUUCCAAAGGCAUCUUCCAAAUGAUUCCCUUCUGGUGCAACGAAGCAGCCGCCGCCCGCCAGUAGGGAAAAUGUCAUCCUCGGGCCCAUCCUUGCAGCUGGGGCAAUUACUUGGCAGGCGAAGACCUCUUUUCACAGAGGAAGCAUGUUCCCCAGCCCCCCUUUGAAAUUGGUCGUUGUGGGAUCCCUUACCGACGAAACGAUGAGGGAAGAGGACCCGGGCCUCAACUAUAAAUAGAUAGGGUAGGAUACUUCGUAGGCAGGUCGAGGAGUUCCUUCUCACCUUUGAGAAACACACAAAGCCACCCAACCUCCGGAGGCUCGAGAGCACUGUAUAAGUUCAUCCACCAACAUCCACGAGAGGCAAUCCACCAAACGCAGGAGUAGGGUUAUACACUUCGCAGUACCCCGAACCUGGGUAAACUAUUGUGUUAUGUGUUCCCUCACCAUCGAGUGAGUCCUUCGUCGUUCCCAUCGAGUAGCGAGCUAGGCGGGGCUGGGAGGAGAAAGAUCUUCAUACACGCCCCUGUGUUCGAAUCCUUUGGGUUUUGCGGAGCCCAAUAUCCAACAUUUGGUGCACGAGGUAGGGGGCGUGUGAAGGUCUUCUCCGAGCUUCCUCCUGCUCACGCCGGCUCCUCCGAUGGCCGGCGACCAACUAGCUUCUCCGACCACCACAUCACCGUGACUGGAAGCACUCACGCCGGCGUUGUGGUACCGGGCGGCUCGUACCAGGUCGUCAACAUCAUUUCCACCAUGGCGGCCACUCGUUCCGCCCAAACGCACGGCGACCCAGGCACCUGCAGCGCAACGCAUCUGUCAGUGUUCUGGGAACGAGGGUACCCAGACCUUCCUGCGAGCGGCCCUGGGCUGGCCCACUUCAUCAACACAAGAUCGGUAAGGAACAGCACCACCCUGAACAAGGCCCUCGUGAGGGGCCAAGCCUCACGAGGAGGAGCAGUGUCAAGACCCGCAGGGGGGGCUCCUCAAGACCCCUUUGGAGCAACGGAUAUUCCGAGGAAAGGCUGGGCCUCAGGAGUCAAAGGGUGACGCUAGGAAAGGGCCGGUGAUGAGAAGGUGGCAAUACAGGACAGCUUCCCCUUUUAUUGCAAAGAAGGCGGGAGAGAAUCAGGACUCCAAAAGCAUGUUCUAAAGGUUUCCCUUCCGGUGCAACAAGACCCUGGUCGCCCGCCAACAGGGCGGACGUCAUCGCUGCGCUCACCUCUGCGGUGCUCGCAGUUACUUUGCAGUCGAAGACCACUUUUGACAGGGGAAGCAUGUUCCCUUGUCUCCCAUCGAAACUGGUCGUUGUGGCAUUCCUUGCCGCUUACGAUAAGGGAAGAGGACCCUGGCCUCGACUAUAAAUAGACAGGGUAGGAUACGUGAGAGAGGGAUCGGGUCAUUAUAACCCUAGAGAAACACACCGAGCCAAUAGGCCUCCGGAGGCUCAAAAGCAUUGUAUUAUCUCAUUCAUCAACCUCCUUGAGAGGCAAUCCACCAAAGUAGGAGUAGGUUUUACGCUUCGCAGCGGCCCGAACCUAGGAAAACUAUUGUGUCCCGAUUUCUCCUCACCGCCGCGAGAGUUCUAGCCUCGUUCAACGUGUAGUGAGUCCAGUAAAUCGAACAUGUUGAGUGGUCUCUGCGCGCGCCCCCGAGUUCGAAUCCCCAGGGUUUUAAGGAGCCCGAAAUCCGACAUUUGGCGAGCUAGGUAGGGGGCGCGUGUCAGAGCCUCCACGCGAACAGCAGUAACCAGAUGUCAGCUCGGCAGCACUAUGGCAAGUGCAACCAUCGACAACAGUUGGCCCGCGGCGGCAGGCGGCGUCCCAGCAGGCAGGCCCGCCCCUGCGGUCGCCUGCAUCCUCGGCGGAUCGUAGGCGCCACCUUCUAGCCGCCACGUCAAGCGUUUCGGUGCAUCGCGGGGUGAUACACCUCCAUCGUAUCUACUUUUCCAAACUCUUUUGCCCUUGUUUUGGACUCUAAUUUGCAUGAUUUGAAUGGAACUAACCCGGACUGACGCUGUUUUCAGCAGAGUUGGCAUGGUGUUGUUUUUGUGCAGAAAUGGAAGUUCUCGGAACGUCCUGAAAAUUUACACAGAAUAUUUCUGGAAAAUAUGAAAAAUACGUACGCAAAGAUCCACCGGAGGGGAUGGGCCAGUGGGCCACAAGCCCUGUAGCUGCCGGCCCCCCUGGUGGUGGCUACCAAGCUUGUGGGGCCCACGGGGCUUUGCCGCCCCCAAACUCAGCUCCAUAAAUUCACUUUCGUCCCAGAAAAAAUCAGGAGAGAAGAUUUCAUCGCGUUUGCGAUACGGAGGCGCCGCCACAUCCGGUUCUUCAUCUGGAGGGCCGAUUUGGAGUCCGUUUUGGGCUCCGGAGAGGGGAAAUCGUCGCCAUCGUCAUCAUCAACCUUCUUCCCUCUCCAAUUCCAUGAAGCUCUUCAUCGUUUGUGAGUAAUCUAUUCAUAGGCUCGCUGGGCGGUCAUGAGUAGGAUGAGAUCUAUCUUGUAAUCGAGUUAAUUUUGACGGGGAUUGAUCCCUAGUAUCCACUAUGUUCUGAGAUUGAUGUUGCUACUACUUUGCCAUGCUUAAUGCUUGUCACUAGGGCCCGAGUGCCAUGAUUUCAUAUCUGAAAAUAUUAUGUUGUCACCAAUAUAUGUGCAUUUUAGAUCCGAUCUUGCAAGUUCUAGUUACCUACUAUGUGUUAUGACCGGCAACCCCGGAGUGACAAUAACAGGAACCACUCCCGGUGAUUACCAUAGUUUGAGGAGUUCAUUUGUUCACCAAGUGCUAAUGCGUUGUUCUGGUUCUUUAUUAAAAGGAGAACCUUAAUAUCCCAUAGUAUCCUUUUGGACCUCGCUGCCACGGGAGGGAUGGACAAUACAUGUCCUGCAAGUUCUUUUCCCUAAGCACGUAUGACGACACACGGAAUGCAUGCCUACAUCACAUUGACGAACGGGAGCUAGCCACAUAUCUCUCUGUGUUAUAACUGUUGCAUGAUGAAUAUCAUCCAAACAAAUCACCGACCCAUUGCCUACGAGUUUGUCCCACUGCUGCUGUUACUUGUUUUGCUCUGCUGCUGUUACUACUGUUGCUGCUGAUGUUACUUGCUUUGCUCUGCUGCUACUUGCUACUGCUGUUACUUGCUAUUGUUGCUACUUGCUAUUGAUGUCACUACUGUUGUUCCUUGCCACUGCUGCUACCUGCUACAACACUUUUUCUCGCACCGUUGCCGGGGAAGAACAUUUCCCGUCCACGGGCAACUUCUCGCGCCAUUGAUACAACAGUUAGGAACAGUCUGUCGUCAACAGAUCGUUUCUGGCACCGUUGCUAUCAUACUACAUUGCUACCGAUACUUUGCUUGCAGAUACUAAUCUUUCAGGUGCGGUUGAAUCUGGCACAUUCAGCUGCUAAUACUUGAGAGUAUCCUUUCACUUGCUGUCGGGCGAACCAACAAAUUUGGGUUGAAUACUCUACCCUCGAAAACUGCCGCGAACCCACGUGCUGUUGGGCCAUUGCAAGACAAUUGCUAAUUGUUGAGCAACUGGGAGCAGUUCUGGCUCCGUUGCCGUGGAGGCAUCAAGUCAGGAACACAUCAACAGCAUUUUUCUAGUGUCGUUGCCGGGGACUGCUAGCAGCAUUUUUCUGGCACCGUUGCCGGGGAAGGGAUUGCUAUAUUCCUUGAGUCACUUGGGAUUUAUAUCUGCUGAUCACUAUGAAGAAUCUGAAAGAUCCAAAAACCAAAGUUUUGCCCUCAACUAUGAGGGGAGGUAAGGAACUGCCAUCUAGCUCUGCACUUGAUUCACCUUCAGUUAUGACUAAGUUUGCGACAUCACCUCCCGCUAGAAAUCUUGAUAUGUCGCCUGUGCUUGAUGAUGCUUAUGAUGCUACUAUGCCUGGACUGCUAGAGAUGCUAUGCCUAAUAUCGCUAGAGAUGUUAUGCCUGAUACUGCUAGAGAUGUUAUGCCUAAUAAUGCUAUGCUUGAUACUGCUUUGCCUGAUGAUGCUAGAUAUGCUAUUUUGCCUGAUGAUGCUAUGCUUGAUACUGCUAGAGAUACUACUUUGCCUGAUAUGCCACUAGGGGUAUUCCUUGAUGCUCAUAUUGCUAGAGUUACUGCCAAUGCUCGUGAUGCUUCUGAAACUACCGAUGCUAUUGAGAUAGAACUUGCUUUUGCUAUUGCUAGAUCUAGCUCUCCUAGAUAUGAAUUUCCUGAUAUACCUGAGGGUUAUGUUAUGGAGGGAGAGAUAGCUGAGGAUUUUCUUGCAUGUAAGGAUGCCUAUGACGCUGAGAAAUUACUUGUCAUGUGGAAGGAAAAAUCUCUGAAAGCUAGGAUGAAAUACGACCCGAAGUUUGCCACUUCACCUAUCUUUAUCACCGAUGAGGAUUUUGAAUUCUCUGUCGACCCUGAGAUAAUCUCUCUAGUCGAAUCUGAUCCUUUCCACUGUUAUGAGUCUGAGGCGGUCGUAGCCCAUCUUACCAAAGUACACGAUAUAGCCACCCUUUUCACUAGUGAGGAGAAGAUCCGCUACUACUACAUCCUUAAGUUGUUUCCAUUCUCUCUAAAGGAUGAUGCUAAAGCCUAGUCCACUUCUCUUUCUCCUGGAUGUGUGAGUAGUCCCCAGGAUAUGGUCUAUUACUUCUGUGAGAAAUAUUUCCCUUCCCAUAAGAAGCAAGCUGCCUUGCAGGAAAUAUACUACUUUGCUCAACUCAAAGAAGAGAGUCUCCCACAAGCUUGGGGGAGGCUCAUCCAGCUACAGAAUGCUUUGCCUGAUCACCCUCUUAAGAAGAACGAGAUAGUUGAUAUCUUCUAUAACGGACUUACCGAUGCUUCUAGAGACCACCUAGAUAGUUGUGCCGGUUGUGUUUUUAGGGAAGGAACUAUAGAACAAGCCGAGAUUCUACUGAAUAACAUCUUGAUCAACGAUAAUGCUUGGACUAUUCCCGAACCACCUCCUAAGCCAACUCCUAAGAAAAGAGGUAUUCUAUUCCUUAGUCCCGAAGAUAUGCAAGAAGCCAAGAAAUCUAUGCAAGAGAAAGGCAGUAGAUCUGAAGAUGUAAAAAAUCUACCAACUAUCGAAGAGAUCCAUGGUCUCGAUAACCCGAUACAAGUAGUAGAAGUGAAUUCUCUGCGUUGGUUUGAUGAGAGUGAUAUUCCUUUUGACAAACCUGCUAGCCUAUGCUUUGAUGAAUUUGACAACUUUGUUGCCAAACAACAGAGUUUCAAUGAUUAUGUUAGCAGACAUUUGGAACAAAGUACUCGUAUGCUUAGUCAUUUAAGUGCUUGUGUAGACAGAAAUGUCAAUGAUCUGAAGCUUCUGAGUAAACAUGCCUCUAUGAUUACUACUCAGGUAGAACAAGUACUUAAAGCUCAGAAUGACUUUCUCAAUGAAUUAAAUGACAACUCUGUCAGAGUCAUUACUAGAGGAGGCAAAAUGACUCAGGAACCUUUGUAUCCUGAAGGCCAUCCUAAGAGAAUUGAUUAAGAUUCUCAAGGAAUUAAUGUUGAUACACCCAGUCAUCCUAAGAAGAAGAAGGAUGCUAGAAACCUACAUACCAGUUCACCAAAUACUGUCACACUUGAAGAACCAAAUGAUAUUUCUGCGUCUGAUGCAGAAACACAAUCUGGUGAUGAACAUGAACCUGGUGACAAUAUGGACAGCGAUGUUCAUAAUGAGGCUCAACCUAGCAAUGAUAAGGAUGUGGAGAUUGAACCUACGGUUAAUCCUAAUAUGAUAUGAAUGACUUUGCUGCUAUGAAUGACUUUGCUGCUAGGAAGCGUGGUAAAGAAAGGGAGCCAUGGGUUCAGAGACCCAUGCCCUUUCCUCCUAAGCCAUCCAAGAAAAAGGAUGAUGAGGAUUUUGAGCGCUUCAUUGAGAUGAUAAGACCCGUCUUUCUGCAGAUGCGGUUAAUUGAUAUGCUCAAAAUGUCUCCGUAUGCCAAGUACAUGAAAGAUAUCAUGACUCAUAAACGGAAGAUACCAGAUCUUGAGAUCUCCACCAUGCUUGCCAAUUACACUUUCAAAGGUGGAACUCCUAAAAAACUUGGUGAUCCCGGAGUGCCCACUAUACCUUGCUCCAUUAAAGGAAACUAAGUAAGAACUGCCUUAUGUGAUCUUGGAGCCGGUGUUAGUGUCAUGCCGCUCUCUCUUUAUCGUACACUUGAACUGGAUAAGUUGACACCCACUGAAAUUUCUAUGCAAAUGGCAGACAAAUCAAGUGCUUUCCGUAUCGGCAUUUGCGACGAUGUGCCUGUUGUGGUUGCUAACACCACUAUCUUAACAGACUUUGUUAUCUUGGAUAUUCCCGAGGACGAUGCCAUGGCUGUCAUCCUGGGAAGACCCUUUUUAAACACUGCAGGGGCUGUUAUAGAUUGCAACAAAGGCAAUGUCACUUUCCAUGUCAACGGUAAUGAGCAUACAGUGCACUUUUCAAAGAAACGAUAUCAAGUGCAUUGCAUCAAUGCUAUCGAAAAUACUUCAUCGAUUCUUAUUGGGAGCUUUGAGUGCCCUAUUCCUCGUGUCAGGAUGAAGUAUGAUUUGCUUGUUGGGGAGAUACAUAUCCCCAUUGAGGUGACUUAGUGGCUAUUCAACAAUUCUCCAUUCCCUCUUGGGAUUCGAAAAGGUUUUGUCAUGAGGAUUUGAUCAACCCCAUUGACGGAUUUCUUUCGAUGACCAUGAAAUGGAUGAAUCAAAGAGUCACAUAGCUCUGUUUUAAGUUUUCACUUUCUAUUUCUUAGAAGAAAAAUGAUAGAUUUAGUUUAGUUUUUCUUGCUUCCUAUUUUAGCGUCCCUCAGAAAAUACGCUGAAAAUAAAAGUUCUCCGAUGGUCCUGAAAAUCUAGUAUGAUUUUUUCUGGAAUAUUUGAAAAAUACUGGGAGUGAGAGCUGGCUUGGGGGCCACACUAGUGGGCCACAAGCCCUGUAGCCGUCGCCCCCCUGGUGGCAGCUACCAAGCUUGUGGGGCCCACAGGGAUCCCCUCCACUCAUUCCAACUCCCAUCCUCUUCUGCUACCUCCAGAAAAAAUCGUUUCGCAGCUCAAACCCGCGGUCUUGCUCAUUUGGAUGAGAUUUUGGAUCUCCUUUCUCAAAGCACCAUUCUCCGAACCGUUUUGGGAAAAUUACUCCUUGGUAAUGACUCCUCCAUUGGUCCAAUUAGUUUUUGCUCUAGUGCUUUAUCCUUCGCGUAUUGUUGCUACCUUGGUGACCCUGUUCUUGAGCUUGAAAUGUUGAUUUUAGCUGGUCCCAAGUAGUUUUAGCGUGUGAUACGGUCUCUAGGCACUAGUAGGAGUAAUUUCUACAAGGUGUGGUUGGUCUUCAUUCACUUUUCUCUUGAACUUCAAAAAUUUCAGCAAAAGGAAAUUAUGUUCAGGAGGAAGUUUCAUGGUGGUUCCUCAAGUAAGAAGGGUCCCCGUCUUUCUAUUCGGGAGCCCGAUCCUUAUCAACUAAGGGACGCACUGGUACAACCAUGUGAAUGGCCUUCCGAUGAGUUCAUGAUCGAAGCAGGCUUCAAGGAUGAGUUUGAUACACUUGUCCGCAAUGCCGGGUUAGAAGAAUUCCUCUCAGAUAAAUGUGAACAGUAUGCUCUGCUCACUGCCUCUUUCGUGCGUAGAUUUAAAUUUUUUGUUGGCCGUGACUUAUCCAUAUUGUUUGAUCUGUAUGAUAAAUCCUACACCAUGGAUUUGGAGGAUUUCAAUAGGAUUUGCAAGAUAGCCGAUGGGGUAGUCUUAAUGAUCCUGCUAAGUGUUCGGUUAGAGAUUUUGUCUCUAGUAUAACUGUUGGGGAAACUAGAGAUAUCACGCAAGCUACCAUAGGAAGCAUUCAUUUCCCUGCCUUGCACUACUUUGCCCUCUUCAUAGGUAGAUGCUUUAACGACAAGGGUGCACAUUGUCACCUAUGCGGAUCCGACCUUAGUAUCCUUAAGAGCGCAGUAACAGGUGACAGGAGCUUCAACAUGGGAGCUAUAAUAGCAAGGAGGCUGAAUAAUAAUGUCGUUGAUGGGGAUUUCUUUGGUGGAAUUUAUGCUACGGACUUAGCAAAUUUUCUUGGAGUACCCAUCCGUUCAGGAGACCCCCCUCUCCGUACAGCCUACUUUGAUCGUGUCGCUCUAACACGCUACCAGUUCCUUGAGAGGGAUGAUGAAUCCCUCCUAUACCGUUUGAUAUUUAACCGGCAGCGUGUUUUCCAUAUUACCCUUCCUGCUCCUGCUUUCUUUGAAUUUCAGGUAAAACGGAGAUACUACAUAACCAUAGGAGAGGCAGAGGAGUAUGAGAGAGAGGCGACGGCUUCUCGUCUUCGUGAGGCCGCUAUUCAGGCAGUGGCUGCAGCACUCCCGUAUAACACCCAUUAUGAUUUUGGGUUUCGCCAGGACCAUCCUUGGGAGUAGACCAACUUAGGCCAAAAGCCUAAGCUUGGGGGAGUACGUGUUGUCACCGACUUUACAUUCUUGCUUACGAUUUCACUUUGUUAGCCGGUGUUCACACUUUGCCACUGUAUCAUCCAUGCUAGUUUAUUUUCUUUUUCUUUUUUUGUUUUCUUUUCGUGUGUCUGUCUAGUUUGAGAAAACCAAAAAAAAAUCUUUUUCUUCUUUUGCUUGUUGGGAGCUUUCCCGUGUAAAUAGUUUUCUUUUUCUUUGGGUCAAGGUAGAAGAUAUGGCUUACAAUGUUUAGUGUCUCUUGCAUGCAUACCUGUUUAGCUUUCAAAGAGCCAUAUUACUUUGUCUUCUCCUUUGUGUUUGCCUGCAGAUUCAGCUUAGUCCAAUGCACGAGCACGCUUAUUAUUGUUCACAUCGUUCGGUCGUGCAAGUGAAAGGCGAUAAUGACGAUAUAUGAUGAAGUGACUGAGCCUGGAAAAGCUGGUAUGAACUCUAUCUAUUUUGUUUUUGUAAAUAUGACUAGCUUGUCGUCCCAGAUUCAGCUUUGUUGUGAGAGAACGAUGUUUGCAAUGACAACUUAGAGAUCAUAGUUUCUGAUGCCAUGUUUAAUUAGUUGAGAGCUUAUAAUGGUUUGUCUUGAAUGCCAACAUAGAUUUUGAGAUGACUAUGAUGUAGUAUGAUAGGAUGGUAUUCACCUUUGAAUGAUUCAAGUGGCUUGACUUGACGCAUGUUCAUGCAUGUAGUUGAAACAAAAUCAAUAUAGCCUCUAUGAUGUUCGUAUUCGUGGUGAUUUAUAUCGUGUUCAUGCUUGCACUCAAUGUUAAUCAAACUCAUUGCAUCUUGAUGACCGUUGUCGCUCUCUAGUUGGUCGCUUCCCAGUCUUUUGCUAGCCAUCACUUGUACUAAGAGGAAUACUGCUUGUGCAUCCACCUCCAUAAACCCAAAAGUUUUUCCAUGAGAGUCCAACAUACCUACCUAUUUGCGGUAUCUACCUGCUGUUCCAAGUAAAUUUGCAUGUGCCAUUCUCUAAACCUUUAAGAAAUAAUCUGUUUUGCAGGCCCGAACCGCUCAUAUGAUCACAGGGGGCUAUUGAUAUCUUCCAUGUUAGGCAUGUUAUCCUCGACAUGUGUUUAUUCAUUGUCAUUCACGAGAAAGGGGCUGGUAAUUGGAAUGCCUAGUUCCACACUUAAAUCGAAAACAUAACUGUAAAACAAGACUCACCCUGGAUUGAUGUUAGUAUGGACUGUACCCGAGGAUUCGGCUAGCCAUGGAGUGUGAUUGAUUGGUGGUGGGGGAGUUAAUACUUUACUUUUUUGUUUGGGAACCGCCUAUAGCAUGAGUAGCAUGGAAGAUAUUAAGAACUCUUGGUCAUUGCGUUGACAAUGAAAGCAUGCCACCCAAAAUUAUUAUCUCUCUUUUCAAAGCUUGAGCUCUGGCACCUCUGCAAAUCAAUGCUUCCCUCUGCGAAGGGCCUGUCUAUUUAUUUUCCUAUUGAGUCAUCCUCCUCUUGUAUAAGCACCAAUUAGAGAGCUCCUCUGUCAUUUUUAUGCUUUGCUUUAGAUUGAUAUUGGGUAUGACUAUGACUAGAUCUUCGUUGCUAUGAAUUACAAUCUUUAGUCAGCCCUUGAUCUUUGAAAGUGCUCUGCAUUUAUGUUUUGCGGUCUCAGAAAGAGCUAGCGAGAUACCACCUAUUCAUAUUGCUUCAAGCUUGUUUUGAUUGAAUUGUUGGUAUCUGAAACUCAUUAUUAUUUUCUCGCUAGCUGAUUAUGCCAUUGAUAUUAGUUUAUGUGGUUAACUUGUGAUCUUGCUGAAAUUCUGGUUAUGAGUUAGACAUAGUUGCAACAACAAGAUCAAACAGAGUUUGUCAAAGUUUUUCUUUCUCUUUCAGUUUGUUAACUGAGUUGCUUGAGGACAAGCAAGGUUUUAAGCUUGGGGGAGCUGAUACGCCUCCAUCGUAUCUACUUUUCCAAACUCUUUUGCCCUUGUUUUGGACUCUAAUUUGCAUGAUUUGAAUGGAACUAACCCGGACUGACUUUGUUUUCAGUAGAAUUGCCAUGGUGUUGUUUUUGUGGAGAAAUGAAAGUUCUCGGAACAUCCUGAAAAUUUACGGAGAAUAUUUCUGGAUAAUAUGAAAAAUAUGUGUGCAUAGAUCCACCGGAGGGGAUGGGCCAGUGGGCCACAAUCCCUUGAGCCGCCACCCCCCUGGUGGUGGCUACCAAGCUUGUGGGGCCCACGAGGCUCUGCUGCCCCCAAACUCAGCUCUAUAAAUUCACUUUCGUCCCAGAAAAAAUCAGGAGAGAAGAUUUCAUCGCGUUUGCGAUAUGGAGGCGCCGCCACAUCCUGUUCUUCUUCCGGAGGCAGAUCUGGAGUCGGUUAUGGGCUCCGGAGAGGGGAAAUCGUCGCCAUCGUCAUCAUCAAACUUCUUCCCUCUCCAAUUCCAUGAAGAUCUUCAUCGUUCGUGAGUAAUCUAUUCGUAGGAUCGCUGGGCGGUGAUGAGUAGGAUGAGAUCUAUCAUGUAAUCGAGUUAGUUUUGACGGGUAUUGAUCCCUAGUAUCCACUAUGAUCUAAGAUUGAUGUUGCUACUACUGUGGCAUGCUUAAUGCUUGUCACUAGGGCCCGAGUGCCAUGAUGUCAGAUCUCAAAUUAUUAUGUUGUCACCAAUAUAUGUGCAUUUUAGAUCUGAUCUUGCAAGUUGUAGUUACCUACUAUGUGUUAUGACCAGGCAACCCCGGAGUGACAAUAACCGGAACCACUCCCGAUGAUGACCAUAGUUUGAGGAGUUCAUGUGUUCACCAAGUGCUAAUGCAUUGUUCCGAUUCUUUAUUAAAUAGAGAACUUUAAUAUCCUGUAGUAUCCUUUUGGACCCCGCUGCCAUGGGAACGAUGGACAAUAGAUGUCAUGCAAGUUCUUUUCCCUAAGUACGUAUGAUGACACACAGAAUGCAUGCCUACAUCACACUGACGAACGGGAGCUAGCCACAUAUCUCUCCGUGUUAUAAGUGUUGCAUGAUGAAUAUCAUCCAAACAAACCACCCACCCAUUGCCUACGAGUUUGUCCCACUGCUGUUGUUACUUGUUUUUCUUUGCUGUUGCUACUACUGUUGCUGCUGCUGUUACAUGCUUUGCUCUGCUGCUACUUGCUACUGUUGUUACUUGCUACUGUUGUUAUUUGCUACUGCUUUCACUACUGCUGUUCCUUGCCACGGCUGUUACUCGUUACACUGCUGCUACCUGCAACAAUAUUUUUCUCGCACCAUUGCCGGGAAAGAAUAUUUCCCGUCCACGGGAAACUUCUGGCGCCAUUGAUACAACAGUUAGGAACUGUCUGCCGUCAACAGAUCGUUUCUGGCACCGUUGCUAUCAUACUACUUUGCUACUAAUACUUUGCUUGCACAUACUAAUCUUUCAGGUGUGGUUGAAUCCGACACAUUUAGCUGCUAAUACUAGAGAGUAUCCUUUAACUUCCGGUCGGUCGAACCAACAAAUUUGGGUUGAAUACUCUACCCUCGAAAACUGUCGUGAACCCACGCGCUGGUGGGCCAUUGCAAGACAAUUGCUAAUUGUUGAGCAACUGGGAGCAGUACUGGCUCCGUUGCCGUGCAGGCGUCAAGUCAGGAAAACGUCAACAUCAUUUUUCUAGUGUCGUUGUCGAGGACUGCUAGCACGGGGGAACGGACUGCCUAAGGCCCGAGCCCCCGGAACGUCGUGUGUAGCCAGAGGUCAACAUCACCUUCGACCCCGACGACCACCCUAAACUCACUAUGGCCGCCGGGGUGCUUCCCAUGAUGUGCACGUCGUCUGUCUCUGGUGUGGCUGUCUCCAAGACCCUCAUCGAUGGCGGCCCAGGCCUCAACGUCAUCUCAGUGGAGGCCUUCGACGCGUUGCGGUUUCCCCGAGCGCAACUCGCGUCCUUGAAGCCCUUUUCUAGGGUCGUGGCUGGAUCCGUCAUCCCAGUCCGACGGAUCCAUCUCCCUGUUACGUUCGGCACCUGCUCCAACUUCCGCACCGAGCAGAUCGACUUUGACGUCGCUCUCAUCCACCUUCUAUACAAUGCUAUACUUGGCUACCCCGCCCUCGCGCAGUUGAUGGCAACGACGCACCCGACCUACAACGUCGUCAAGAUGCCAGGGAGCAGUGGCGUGCUUACCGUCGUGGGGGACGUCAAAGACGCCUCGUGGGUUCUCGGGUUAACCCGUAAGGCCGCGGGCAAUGCGCGUGCCGACUCCAAGGGCAAGGCGCGCGCCACGGAGGACCCAGGAGACGCCUUCGACAUUGAGCCCGUGAAGAAGGAGUUAUUUUCCCAGCCGGGCGGAAACAAAGCAAGUGCCGGUGGAUGAAGGGAGCCUGACCCCCGCCUUCACCAUCGGCGCGAAUCUUCCCCAAGACCAAGAGAAGGCAUUAGUAGGCUUCCUCGGGGAAACCAAGAGCGCGUUUGCCUGGAGUGCCUCCAACCUUGUGAGGGUCCCCAGGGACGUCAUCAAGCACCACCUCAUGGUAUACCCGAACGCGCAUCCGGUGAAGAAGAAGGCAAGGAGGUAGGCUCCGGAGAAGCAAGCCUUCAUAGCUCGGGAGGUGCGGAAGCUGAAGGAAGCAAGGGUCAUCAGGGAGGUGCGCUACCUGGAGUGGGUGGCAAACCCGAUGGUUGUCCCAAAGAAGUGUGGGAAGGAGCGCAUGUUCAUAGACUUCAAAAACCUUAACAAGGCUUGCCCUUAGGACCCAUUCCCGUUACCGCGUAUCGACCAGAUCGUGGACUCCACUACGGAAUGCGACCUUUUGUGCUUCUCAGGCGCUUUCUCGGGCUACCACCAGAUCAAGAUGGCGGUGGAGGACAUUGAGAAGACAGCCUUCCUCUCUUCGUGCGGGGUGUACUGCUAGGAGUGUAUGCCUUUCGGGCUGUGUAACGUCGGGGCGACCUUCCAGCGGUUGAUGCACAUUGCCUUGGGGCCGCAGCUCGGGAGGAAUGCGGAAGCCUUCGUCGACGACAUCUUGGUCAAGUCAAGGCAAGCCAAAACCCUGGUGGAGGAUCUGGAAGAGACCUUCGCCAACUUGCGGGAGGUGAACCUGAAGCUCAAUCCCAAGCAGUGCAUCUUCGGAGUCCCAUCAGGCAAGCUACUUGGUUUCCUAGUGUCGCACCAGGGGAUCGAGGCUAACCUAGUAAAGGUAAAUGUCAUAAACAAGAUGAGCGUGCCCACAACCCUCAAGGAAGUGCAGAAGCUGGCGAAUUGUGUCACUUCCCUGGUUGUUCCAUCUCCAAGCUUGGAGAGCGAGCACUACCCUUAUUCAAGAUCAUGAAGAGGAAUGGGCCCUUCGAGUGGACUCCACAGGCCGAAGCUGCCUUCGAAGAGCUCAAGCGUUAUCUCACGAGCACGCCGGUCAUGGUGGCACCUCGCCCUCGGGAGCCCCUACUUCUGUACCUUAAUGCCACCCACACUCCGCCAGCGCUGCUUUGGUGGCAGUAAGGGAGGAGCAAGCCGACAAAGGCUCUACUUUGGGAAGCCACAGCAGGCCCUCGCCCGAUGCUCUAGAGUGCUCGCGCGACCCGCAAGCUCCAACUCCCCUGCGAGUAGAUGGACCGGAGGUCUAGACGGGCGAAGCAAGCCUUGAAGAGCCUUGUCCUCCCGAGGCCCCGUCCUUCCCUCCGGACGAUGAAUCCUUCCAACCUCCUAAAGUCACCAAGGAUCACGACGCCCCGGGCGGUCGCGUCCUUGUCAAGCACCCCGUGUACUUCGUCAGUAUGGUACUGCGGGACGCCCGCUCGCGCUACCCCAGGCAGCAAAAACUCCUUCUAGCGCUCCUCGCUGCCUCGCGCAAGCUGCAUCACUACUUCCAAGGACACCCAAUCAAGGUCAUCUCCGCUUACCCCUUGGAGAAGAUCUUGCACAACCCGAACGCGACAGGAAGAGUUGCUGAGUGGAACAUCGAGCUUCAAGCCUUCAACAUCAAAUUCAGCACGGCCAGGGUCAUCAAAGGAGCCGCCUUGGCCGACUUCGUGGCAGAAUGGAGGGAUGCACCUGACCGGGGGCUGGAAGGGAAUCAAUCCCUUGCCCCCGGAGCGGAGGCGCCCGAGGGAUUGACAAUGCACUUCGAUGGAGCCUUCGCGUGAAUGGAAGCAGGGUCUGGCGUCCUCCUUACUUCCCCGAUGGGAGACAAGCUUCACUACGUCGUGUAGCUCUCCUUCCAAAGGGGGGAGAAGGUCUCCAACAACAUAGCGGAGUACGAGGGCCUCAUCGCCGGUCUGAAGGCAGCGGUGGCCUUGGGGGUCCAGCGCGUCACGGUGAUGAGCGACUCUCAGCUCCUCGUCAACUUCUCCAACAAGGAGUACACGCCCAAAGAUGAUCAUAUGGAGGCAUACCUCAAAGAGGUGCGUAAGAUCGAGAAACGUUUUCAAGGCCUGGAGUUGGAGCACAUCCCGCGAGGGAAAAACAAGGAGGCAGACGACAUCACCUAAAGAGCGUCGCGUCGCGAGGCUCAAGAGCCAGGCGUCUUUGAGGAGCGCCUCUUCAAGCCUUGUGCAGUGCUGUCACUCGAAGACCCGGUGCCGCGCGGAAAAGAGCUGCCCCUGCACCACCCUCGGGGGCUCCCGACUUUGGUCAAGCCUCGGGGUCUCGGAUCCUCCUGGCCCUGGAGGCUCAAGACGAUGAUUGGACGCAGGAACUCGGGGCAUACCUGCUCUGUGGUGCAUUGCCGGAGAAGGAGGAGGAUGCGGAGCACGUAGUACAACAAGCCUCAGCUUACUGCGUGCGAGACGACCCCUUGUACCGCAGGCGCCCGAACGACGUCGUGCUACGUUGCAUUUCCAAGGACUAGGUGCACAAGUUACUGGCCGACAUUCACAGAGGGGAUUGCACACAUCACUCUUCCUUGCGCAUGCUAGCAGAUAAGGCGUUAAGUUCAGGUUUUUACUGGCCCAUAGCUCUGCACGACACUACCGAGCUGGUCUGGUCUUGCGAGGCCUGUCAGUUCCACGCCAAGUAGAUCCACCAGCCUGCAUAGGGCCUCCAGACCAUCCCGCUCACCAGGCCCUUUGCGGUCUGGGGGUGGACAUUUUGGGGCCUUUCCCCGGGCCGCGGGGGGCUUCCGCUACCUCUACGUCACCAUCCCAGCCGGGUCCACCAAGUGGGGGGAGGUGGAGCCCGUGCGCACCAUCCCAGCCGGGUCCAUCGUCAAGUUCAUCAAGGGAGGUGGAGCCCGUACGCAUCGGUGGCCCUUCAGUUGAGCAAUGGCCAGGCAGAGCGCGCCAAUCUGGAGGUCCUGCGGAGUCUCAAGGUGAGGAGUUUCAAGAAGAAGCUCGAGGACUGCGGACGAGGUUGGGUCGAUGAUCUCCCAUCGAUACUAUGGUCCAUCCGCACCACUGCAACCAAGCCCACUGGCGAGACCCAUUCUUCCUCGUCUAAGGAACGGAGGCGGUUCUUCCCCACGAAAUCAAGUACCACUCCCCGCGUGUCCUAGCGUUCGGUGAGGAGCAUCAUGAGGCCGCAUGGGGGACAGACCUCUUACUCGGAGAGGAGGUUCCCCGCCGGGCCUCUCUCCGAGCCGCGAGGUACCAGCAAGCCUUACGACGCUACCACUAUCGCAACAUCCGCUCCAAGACCCUCGAAGUCGGUGACAUCGUCCUGAGGCGGGUCCAAUCCAGGGAAGGCUUUCACAAGCUCUAGCCUAUAUGGGAAGGCCCUAUCAAGGUCGUCCACGUCUCCAGGCCUGGCUCCGUGCAUCUGGAGACUCAAGAUGGAGUCCCCAUGCAGAAUGCCUGGAACAUCCAGCACCUCCGCAUGUUCUACCCAUGACGACUCUGCACCGUCCCUGCACUGCCUCCACGCCACCUCUACACCGACCCUGCAUCGUCCCUCAAUUCUUCCGGAACCUACUUCAUCCCGUGACACCCUCAAGUAAUAACGAGCCGAGGUUGUAUACGCCCAGGCACCCCCGAGGACGCGGAAGGGGUCCAUCCCACACUGGUGGGGAAGACGAAGGAAAUCAACACAUACGUCCAAUGACUUCCGGAAUCAGGCGCCUAAUGCCUCGGGGGUAGGGACACUCGCGAGGCCAAUGCGUCCUCGCGACCUCCCGGAUACACCCCCACCCUGACACUCUCACGUAAUAACUAGGCGUAGCUGUAUACGCCGAGGGCCCCCUCAGGACAUGGAAGGGAUCCACCCCACGCCUAGUGGAAGACCUUAGCUCCGCGCUGGGUGGCGAUGGAGGCGGAGAAUAGAUUAGGUGCCGGACGCGGCUUGCAUUUGCUUUCUUAUGAUUUGGAUUUAAUGAUAUUUAUGAAGUCAAAACUCGGGGCCUUUCCCAAUGAAGCUUUCCGCAAAAACUUAUUUUCCCCACAUUCUUCGCAGCAUGCUCUUUUCCUCUAAGUCGUGCCUCAGUUUUUGACCUCACCCGCUCGUACCCCGCGUGCAGGGGCUGGGGGCACGGUGCCGGCACCUCGCCACGGCCUUGGUGCCCGAAUACACGUGUGAUACUCGCUGACGAGUCGGUAGACUCAUGCCAACUAGCACUCGCUCACGAAACCAAAUCGUGGCUCGGCGCACCACCAUGGAGAAGGAACAACAUUUGUUUUUUCCUCACAACAGAUGUUUAUCUUGGGACAGUUUUUGCGCCUUAGGGGGCUCUUGAACACAACGCCUCAGGAGCUUUACCCGGUCACAAAGCCACCUGGCACCACGGUGCCAGGGCCCGGCCCCGUGAGGAACCACCUUGGUAACGGGUUGCACCUCACGACGGCGGGGAAAUGUGCGGGACUGGGACCUAGCGACGUAGAGCUUCCUGAAUUCAAAUUAGGGACCUCCAAAACAGAACUCACGAGGGCCUCUUGAACGUCUAAGGGGGGUCUUGAGCAUUACGCCUUAGGAACCUUACCAGUCGCAAAGCCACCUGGUACCCGGGUGCCAAGGCCUUGUUCCAUGAGGGGCGACCUUCAAGUCGCACCUCGCGGCAGGGAAAUGUGUGGGACUGGGACCUGUCGACGUAGAGCCGCUUGAAUGUGUAAGGGGGCUCCUGUGCAAAGUGCCUCGGGAGCCUUACUGGUCACAAAGCCAUUUGGCACCCCGGUGCCAAGGAUUUGCCUCGUGAGGGACGACCAUGGUAACGGGUCGCAGUCCACAGCGGCAGGGAAAUGUGCGGGACUGGGNNNNNNNNNNNNNNNNNNNNNNNNNNNNNNNNNNNNNNNNNNNNNNNNNNNNNNNNNNNNNNNNNNNNNNNNNNNNNNNNNNNNNNNNNNNNNNNNNNNNNNNNNNNNNNNNNNNNNNNGAAAUGUGCGGGACUGGGGUCCGCUGACAUAGAGCUUCGACCCACUUCACCUGUAGCCAGGGAAAGACAAACCAACCAACUAGCCCCCCCCAAUACCAUAGUUGUGCCUCACAACAAAGAAGUUCCCACAAGCAUACCAAUCUAAGUAUCUAAACCAAUAGAGAAACAACAUCACUAACAGAAGGGGACGACCGCCAAAAUCCAUUACAUACCCGAAGAGUCUACGCCUGUUCCUGUCGGUGCAGGGUCGAAAUCAACGAGAAGACGACUGGUGAUGGAGAUCCCAGGGGAUGACUGUCGGCGCCGAAAACCGACACCUGCUUACCGACACUUAGUCUGUGUCCUCCUCCUCCUUCACACGCGCCGCAUGAGGAGACGAGCGGCAUCGCACUUGCCCCCCCCCCCCCCCNNNNNNNNNNNNNNNNNNNNNNNNNNNNNNNNNNNNNNNNNNNNNNNNNNNNNNNNNNNNNNNNNNNNNNNNNNNNNNNNNNNNNNNNNNNNNNNNNNNNNNNNNNNNNNNNNNNNNNNNNNNNNNCCCCCCCCCCCCCCGAGGCUCGGGCACGGUGGCGAGGCGGCUCGUUGUAGCUGCUAUCGCUGCUGUCGCUCGGGCUCCCCCCGGAGGGGGUGUCACUGCUACUCGAGGUAUGGAGCCAAUCACCAAAGACGGGCUCAUCCACGGGACCGCCACGGCCGGCGUCCUCCGGGCAGCAACCCACACGAUAGCCCUCGACACCGAAGAUCUUGACAAAGAGCAUCGCCUCCCCAUCGAACUUGAAGUGAAGGUAGCACCUCCCCUUCAAGCCUCCGGCGCGAGCGAACGCCUGCCACGCACGGUUCAGGUACACGUAGCCAUGGGGGGUCACCUUGACCUCGACCCAGGACACCCCACCGCACCAGCCGUCGGCCUACAGCCAAAGGCCCGAGUGCCCGCCGGACGGCAUCGCCUUCGCGAAGAAUCUUGGUAGUUGGACCAAGGCGAUCUCCGGCAUGUCCACCCACGUCAUGAAUUCCAUCGCCGUAUCGGCCGAGUGGAGCCGCGGGCGAGGUGGCUGGGUGGCCAUCACCGAACUCCCAUUCCGGGCGUCACGGGUACCCGAGCCGAUCGACGCCCCACUGUGGGCGCUGAUGGGGAUCCCUGGGCAGGCGGAACCACGGCCACGCCCGCCGGAGGCCGCUGUCGGCGCCGCCGCGUACUUCCGAGGGCGGCCCCGUCCCGUCUUGGUAGUUGGAGCAGCAAGACCUUCGCUAGGGGCCUUCCCCUUACCGAUAGCAGAGAAUCUCCUCACCGACGCCAUGCUGUGAGAGUGAAGAGAUGAAGGAGGAAGCAAGAGAAGACUGAGGCGACGCAAGCCUUAUCGCCCUCGCCGGGUUAAAUAGGCAGCCCGGGGUAGGCACGUGUCCCUUCGUGAGGGGACGCGACCGCGUGGCGUGUGUACAGGCGCCACCCCCAGAGAGCAAUGAUGGCUGGCGCAGCAUCCAGGCGUCAUAUCAAUUUGACCAGGCGCGCCUCCGGGCGCUUCGGGAACUGGAAUGUUGCCAGUUUGCGCGACACGUGUCAAGCCUGGCCCGCAGGCAUUUAGGGCCCGCGACGCUUCAGGUUGUCCCCUAGGCUUUGUUAGGAAGCUAGCCCAAGUGUGCCUUGGGCCCGGGGGCUACUGUCGGUGUCCUGGGAACGGGGGUACCCAGACAUGCCAAUCUGUGGACCAGAGCUAACCCACUCCCACGAUCAAGCACCAGCAGGCUCGGCAAGGCCCUUGUGAGGGGCCAAGCCUCACGAGGAGGAAUGGGAUCAAGACCCGCAGGGGCUCCUCAGGACCCCACCGGAGCGGCAGACAUUAUCUGGCCAGGCCCGGCUUCAGGAGUCAAGGAUGAUGCAGAAGAUGGAUAGGCGACCCGCGGAUAGCAGAGCAGUGUAGUUCCCCCUUGGUGCAAAGAGGGCAGGAGCAUAGAUGGUCCCCAAAGUCAUCUCCCAAAGGUUUCCCUUCCAGUGCAACAAAGCCACCGCCGCCCGUCAGUAGGGAAGAUGUCACCACGAGCCUUUCGCUGCAGCGCUCACAGUUACUUUGCAGGCAAAGACCACUUUUGAAAGGGGAAGCAUGUUCCCUUGUCUUCGACCAAAACUGGCUGUUGUGGGAUCCUUCCCGCUUACUAUAAUGGAAGAGGACCCCGACCUCGACUAUAAAUAGAGAGGGUAGAAUACCUGAGAGAGGGAUCGGAUCAUUAUAACCCUAGAGCAACACACCGAGCCACUGGGCCUCCGGAGGCUCAAAAGCAUUGUAUUAUCUCGUUCAUCAACCACCGUGAGAGGCAAUCCACCAAUGUAGGAGUAGGGCUUUACGCUUCGCAGCGUCCCAAACCUGGGUAAACCACUGUGUCCCGAUUUCUCCUCACCAUCGCGUGAGUUCUAGCCUUGUUCAACAUGUAGCGAGUCCAGUACACCGAACCUGUUGAGUGGUCUCUGUGCGCACGCCCGAGUUCGAAUCCCUAGGGUUUUGCGGAGCCCGAAAUCCGACAGCAUCAACUUGGUGGACCUCGGCGCACACGACGUGUUGCAGAUGACAAGAGACAUGCUCCGCCAACGACCGAUGCCAGGGGGCUUCGACGCCUGGGCGAACCACAUCAUGGAGAUGGUUCCCAUCGCCCAGAAGACCAUCCGUUAUGGAGCUUCUACAAGGCCACAAGUGUCGGGCACUGUGGGCUCGUAGUGUGUGCCCGUCCCGGGGCAUGCAAGCAUCGGGCCCCUGCCUGCACCGGGCAGGGCCAAGAGAGACGUGCUUCAUGCUGCCCUCCUCCUUCUCCAGACCCCAGCAACCGGGCCCGAGACGCACCACACCAACAACCACCAGGAGCGCGAGGAAAACAGCGGGACAACCGAUGCACACACUAGUGCACAUCACCAAGACCAGGUUGCCCCUCGACAAUCCGGGGCGGCUAGACAGGAGUGCUCACUCCGGCGCAGCCAGCAGAGGGCGAUGGUGAUUGCGCGGGUGGACUACAACAACGGAGGCACGUCGGGGCACCAAGGAGGGAAUAAACACCGAGCGGUGCCGGGGCCGACCAACGGCGGUAACAGGAACAAGCGACUUCCAGCGGAGGCCUUUCGCAGGAAGAAAUCCGAGCAAUACUACCGUGGAGAUCCCCAUCCACCACCAAGGGGGACCGCCACUGCCGCGUUGUUGAGCGGUUUUGGAGGACAGGUGAGCACCUACAUGGAGUCGUACAAGUCGGAGUAUGCGGCAUCACCUGACCCUCAUGAUAACGAAGAGCUUCAGGCGUCCCCCCGGGCGCAUAUCCUCCUCGGGAGUAAGGAACGCUUAGGGGCCCCUACUUGAGUCGGCCCCAAGAGGUGCGGGCAGGGAGGCUCCCUUGAGCCGUGGGACGUGGCGCUGGCCACCUUCCCCGCGGAAGAACUACAUAGGGCCAAAUCCUAGGCAUCACGAGGACGAGUCGAGCGCACCAACGAGACGCAUGUGGCGCGAAUCGCCCGGGGCAAGCACGAUGCACGCGUGGGUGAUGAGGGCCAGGCCUCGCGAGGCGAUCUUCAGGCGCAAGGGACCCAUUCGAGGUAUUUUUUGGAUUUACUGCCUUAGGAAGUGUUUGCUGACCGCAGGGACUCUGAGUACUCAGGGCAUGCUUCCGCCCGUCGUAUCAUUUGUGCAAUCUUUCAUAGUUUCUGCUGUAUCAUUGGGCGACCUGACAGACUGCCUUGCUUGCAUCUUUUGGCGAUCUACCUCCCUCGCUCGGGGGCUCCGGCCUGUACGCGUCGGCCCAACGCGAGGACUGGAGAAGCCCCGCGACUCCCUAUGACCACAAUCGACAGGAUAAAGACAGAGUCGCUUGAACGUCAAAAGGGGGUUCCUAAGCAUCACACCUCAGGGGCCUUACCGGUCACAAGGCCACCUCCAGCCCUUGAUAGCAUCCUCGGUGAUCCGGUCAUUGUGAGGGGUGGCAGGGCCCGACACCGUAGCUACAUCCGUUCACACGGUCCCACGCGACGGCGGUUGGGAAAUGUGCCGGACUAGAUCCUAGCGACGUAGAGCCGCUCGAACGUUAAGGGGGGCUCCUGAGCAUCGCGCCUUAAAAGCCACUUCACCACCCUGAUGCCAUCCAGGCUUGAGGCGCCUCAGGAAGGCAGGAAAAUGUGCAGGACUGGGACCUAUCAACGUAGAGCCAUAAAAGCCCUUAAUUGGCCUCCGGGGAGGGAGCGCGCAAGACCUACAUCUACCUGUCGCACCUCUGCUUCGCCCUUCAAUCCUUCGGAAACAUAUUUCAUCCCAUGACACUCUCACGUAAUAACGAGUCUAGGCUGUAUACGCCCAGGGCCACCCGAGGACGCGGAAGGGGUCCAUCCCAUGCCUAGUGGCAGCCCAAUGCUCCGCGCUGGGGAGAAGUUCAGUCCACCAAUGUCUCGGGGGUAGGGACACUCGCGAGGCCAAAGCAUCCUCGCGACCUCCCAUAUACACGCCCACUGUGACACUCUCACGUAAUAACGAGCUGAGGCUGUAUACGCCCAGGGCCCCCCGAGGACGCGGAAGCGGUCCAUCACACGCCAAGUGGUAGCCCUACGCUCCGCGCUGGGGCGAAGACGAAGGUAAACGGCACGGUCCCCCAAUGACCAUGCCCGCAGUUGGCAAGGAAAUCCAUAUAUUCUGCCAAUGACUAUGCGAGCCUGAGUGUCGGACGUGGCAUUUACUUGCUUUACUUGGAUUUCGAACUUUUUUCGCUGAACUUAAACUUGCCGGUUCCAAAAGUUGUUUUCUAAUUUUUAGUGCUCCAUGUUUGAAAAACAAAAAAAGGGUUGAAACUUUCUAUGGCGUUUCUUAUUUCACUAGCUUUGAAACCUCCCAUCUAGAGGACCUGUUUGGAGAUAACCGCUCAACUCCUCCCCUAGGAGUCAGGGAGCAUUAAUGCGAGGACUUUCCACCCCAGGGCCAAACGUUUCUCAGUAGUCAACCCUCGCUCAGGGGUCCAGACCGAAUCUUGAUACCACCACAAAGAGUCUUGGGAGGCUUCAGGGCCCCCUGGGGCGAUGACCAAUGGAACGAAGAUCGGAAUCGCUCGGGCACCAGAAAGGGGGCUCCUGGGCACGACUUAGGAGCCUUACCGGUCGUAAUGCCACUUUCCACUGUUGGCGCUGUCCGGGAGCCCCAAACGGCGUCAGGAGUGGCGGGGCCCCGCCCUGUGAAGCGCGAGCCUAACGGCGGUGGGGAGAUGUGUGGGGCCGGGGCCUGACGAUGCAGAGCGGCUUGAAUGUCAAGGGGGGCUCGUGAGUAGUCUGCUUGAGGAGCCUUACUGGUCGCAAAGCCAAUCGGCCCCCAGGUCGCCGUGGCUUUGCCCGGUGAGGAGCAACCUUGGUAAUGGGUUGCGCCUCACGGUGGCAGGGAAAUGUGUGGGACGAGGACCUGCAGACAUAGAGUGCCGAAAGGGUCUUCGCCUCGUCCCACCUAUGAAACAGGAGCUGCAUAGGUGGGACUAUGCAAAUGACCGACACAACCCACGAGCUAAGUGCCCCAUAGGCCCAGACUGGGACCCUCUCGCUUUACGACAAAAUAAUGGUGAAUUAAAAACAAGCGCACUAACGAAGAGAUGCAGGGCCCAAGGAUUCGACUGCAACGAAGAACGAGGCCAUCGGCCAAGCACGCGACAAGACGAUAUGUGCCUCUGGAGGGCAGUACCUCCUGAGUGUCCCCCGUCCCCCGUCGUCUCGGGCCACUACUGAUGAAGUGACGGGCCCUAAGCUUCUUAGCCCGGCCGCAACGAUCAUCGGCAUGCCAGCCAUCAACUCAGGAGCAAAGGGAAAAAGGAGAACGGCAGAGGUAAUAACAGCAAAAGCUUAACGCCCGGCGGGACAGAGUUCUUGAUCCACUGUCACAGGAGCAGGUAAACGGAAACUAGAGACACCUAAGGGGAGGGGCUGCUGACAUCACCCAUGGCGCAUGUUGGCUCGGCGUCGGGACCCCCUCCUCGCUCGAGCAGGGCACCUAGAUGUACCGCUCUACCAAGGUGUCCACAUGCAGGCGGACUAUGUCCCCUAGAAGACGGCGGGACCCGGCAAGUACCGGCUCCACGACGCGCCAAAGUUCGAGCUCCGAAGCGAGGCGGGGUUGGAGAAAACGAGCGUCAAGGCAAGACCCAAAAGCUCACGGGCGCUGGAUGCGCUGUCCUCCUCCAUGCAGGAGACGCCAUCCUCCAGCGCCUCCACGACCUUCUUGAAGAAGACGAAGUAGCUCCUAAGCGUCGUGCCUCAGGAGCUUUACCAGUCAUAAAGCCACUUGGGCAUCCUGGUGUCGUCUAGGCACAUUCGGUCAGUAUCAGGGGUGUUAGGGCCUUGCCCCAUGAGGAAUGACAUUGGUAAUGGGUCGCGCCUCACAACGGUAGGGAAAUGUGCCGGACUGGGACUUGUCGACGUAGAGCGGCUUGAGUGUCUAAGGGGGCUCCUGAGCAUCGUGCCUCAGGAUCCUUACCGGUUGCAAAGCCACUUGGCCACCCUGGUGCCGUCCAAGCACAUUCGAUUGGUAUCGAGGGUGUGAGGGCCCUGCCCCCAUGAGGAACAGCCUUGGUAACGAGUCGCACCCCCGGCGGCAGGGAAAUGUGCGGGACUAGGGUCUGCUGACAUAGAGCAUCAACCCACUUCACCCGUAACGAGGAGAAGCCAACCGAGCAACAAGCCCCUCGAGCGCCAUAACCACGCCUCACAACCAAAGAGGUUCACUGCAAGCACACCGAGCUAAGUAUCCAAACCGACUAAAGACAACAGUACUACCAAAAGGGGCGGUCACCCAAAUCCAUUACAUGCCCGAAGGCCCUUUCCUUGUUUUCAUCGACGCGGGGUCAGAAGUAAGAAGGAGACAGCUGGCGAUGGAGGUCCCAAGGGGGCUUCCACCGCAGGCGUCCGAUAACCGCUCGCCGGCACUUAGUUCGUGUCCUGCUCCUCCUUCAUGGGCGCCAUAGGAGCAGACGAGCGGCACCGCGCUUGUGGGCCUUCCCCCAUGGUCCGGGCGCAGGGGCGAGGUGGCUCGUCGUAGCUGUUGUCGCUCGGGCUCCCUCCUGAGGUUGUGUCGCAACUGCCAGAGGCGUGGCGCCCACCACCGGAGGCGGGCUCAUCUACAAGAUCGUCGCAGCUGGUGUCCUCCGGGCAGCAACCUAGAUGCUUGCCCUCGUCCCCAAAGAUCUUGAUGAAGAGUGUCGCCUCCCCGUCAUACUUCAAGUGGAUGUAGCGCAUCCCCUUCAGGCUCGAGCGCGGGCGAACGUCUGCCACACGUUGUUCAGGUACACGUAGCCGUGGGGGUGACCUCGACCUCCACCUAGGAUGCCCCACCACAGCAGUCGUCGGCCUGGAACCAGAGGCCUGGGAUGCCGCCGGUUGGCAGCAUCCCCGCGAAGAUGUUUGGGAGCUAGAACGAUGCGAUUUCCGACCUAUCCACCCACAUCACGAACUCCAUCAUCGUGUCAGCUAAAUGAACCCGCGGGCAUGGCUGUUGGGUGGUCACCGCCGACCUCCCACGUCGGCCACUGCGGACGCUCGCGCCAAUCGACGCUCCACCGACGCAACCGAUGGUGAUUCCAGGGCGGGCGGAACCACGGCCGCGCCCACCGAAGACCGCUAUCGACAUCGCCGCGUACUGCUGAGGGCGGCCGCGGCCCCACUUGAGUGGCGGGGCAGUGAAACCAUCCACGGAAGCCUUCCCCUUCUUGGCAACGGAAUACUUCCUCAUCGGUGCCAUGCUGAGGAGGUGGAGGGGUCGAGGUGGAAGAUGAAAAAGGCCCCUUGGGCCCAGGGGCUACUGUCGGUGUUCUGGGAAUGGGGGUACCCAGACCUGCCUGCCUACGGACUAAGGUUGGCACACUUCAUCGACCAAAAAACAACAGGCCCGACACCACUCAAGGCAAGGCCCUCGCGAGGGGCCAAGCCUCGCGAGGAGGAGCAACAUCAAGACCCGCAGGGGGCCUCCAGAGGACCCCUCCGGAGCGGCGGAUAUUCCGAGGUGAGACCCGACCUCGGGAGUCGAGGAUGAUGCGUGGGAAGGUCAGGCGAUCAGUAGAUAGAAGGACGGCACUGUUCCCCCUUUAGUGCAAAGGGGGCGAGGAAGCACGCAGGUCUGCAAGGCAUCCCCCAAGGGUUUCCAUUAUAGUGCAACAAGGCCACUACCGACUGCGAGUAGGACGAACGUCAUCCCCCAAAGUUUCCAUUUCGGACAAGUUAAACAUGUUCCCCUGUCCCCCUUUAAAAUUGGCCGUUGUGGGAUCUCUUCCCGCCGAAACAGUAAAGGAAGAGGAGUGGGGCCGCCACUAUACAGAUAGUAGGUUACUUCAUAGAGUGGAGAGGAUUCAUUAGCCCAUUUUCAUCACACAAAGGCCACCAAGCCUAAGGAGGCUCUCGAGUGCUAUACUAGUUCAUCCCCCAACCUCCACGAGAGGGAAUCCACCAAAGCAGGAGUAGGGUAUUAUGCUUCUCAGCGGCCCGAACCUGGGUAAACUGUCGUGUUUUGUAUCUUCCUCACUAUCGAGUGAGUUCUCUGUCAUUCCCAACGAGUAGCGAGUCAGGCGAACCAAAGCUGCCAAGUGGCCUCCGCACGCGCCCCUGAGUUCGAAUCUUUAGGGUUUUGCGGAGCCCGAAAUACGACGGAAUAGCAUCAAGACCCACAGGGGGCUUCAUCAGGACCCCUCCGGAGCAGUGGAUAUUGCGAGGCGAGACUCGGCCUCGGGAGUCAAAGAUGACAUGGAGGAAUGACAGGCGAGCAGCAGACAGCAGGACGGAGCAGUUUCCCCUUUAGUGCAAAGGGGGAAAGGACGAACCGGGGUACCCAAGGCAUCUUCCAAAGGUUUACUUUCUAGUGCAACAAGGCCCUCGUCGCUCGCCAGCAGGACGGACGUCAUCCUUGGACCCGUCCCUGCAGCGCUGGCAGCGACUUUGCAGGCGAAGAAUACCUUUGGGCAGGGGAGCAUGUUCCCGAUUUCCCCUUCAAAAUUGGCCGUUGUGGGAUCCCUUCCCACCGAAACAAUAAGGGAAGAUGACCGGGGCCGCCACUAUGUAUAUGGAGAGUAGGUUACUUCAUAGGGGAUCCGAUACAUUUAUUCGCCCACUGGCAACACACAAAGUCCACCCAGCCUCCGGAGGACCUUGAACACUGUACUAGUUCAUCCACCAACCUCCACGAGAGGCAAUCAACCAGAGCAAGAGUAGGGUAUUAUGCUUCUCAUCGGCCCAAACCUAGGUAAAAUGCUGUUCUGUGUCUUCCUCACCAUCGAGUGAGUUCUCUGCCAUCCCCAGAGAGUAGCGAGUUAGGUCAGGCGAGUCCACGAGAGAUCUUCAUACACGCCCCUGAGUUCGAAUCUUUAGGGUUUUGUGGAGCCCGAAAUCCGACACCUGCGAUCCACAAUUGACUACUGGAUGCUCUAGACCAUGACACCUAACCUUCUGGAUGAUGCACAAUCCUGAAAGGUAACAAGCGUCGGUUGCACACAAGAACAACUUCCUCGGUGAUGCUCAAUCACUUGGGUUUUGUUUGGGUUUGGUGUUAGGGGUAUUUCCUCACUUGAUGAUUUUCUCUUAAACACUUUGAGGAAUUUUGGUUGCUCUAAAUGACAAGUGUUUGUUUCUCUCGGAGAAGCCAACCAGCUGGUGGGUGUGGAGGCGGCUAUUUAUAGCCUGGGAGCAUCCCGACAUGAUUUGACAUAAAUGAACUUUAAUAAUAUGAUCGUUGGGUGGAUAAGAUCAGUGAGGUUGUGCGUGGCGUGGAAACAGUCGGAACUUUCAACUAUGAAAGUCCGCAUGUCUCUCAUAUUCCUCACUUUGAGGCUUUGGUAGAGUUAUGCUUGGGUUGAGAAUCAUGAGGAAAAUCUUUCUGUAGUUUUACCUCGACCGCCUUUAACAAUACGGUGUUCCUAUGACUCAAGUGUAAAGAAAAUGAAACAAAAAGAAUAAAUCUUCAUGCUUCAAAUUCUUAAGUGUGUUUUGUUCAGGUCACACUGAAUUCCUCAUCUUCAAUAUCUUCAUGAGAAAUGUGAAUUUCAUCGCAAUUUCUUCGCGAUCAAGGUCUUCAAGGAAAGAUCAAAGUCUUUAGCCGAAGACAUACAUUUUUAGGGGUCGAUAUUCAUCGGAUAACUCAAACUCCUCAGCAACUUAUAGAGCUUGUGUACACUCACAAACAUAUUAGUCACUUAACCUAUAAGUCUUCAAAGCACCAAAAUCACUAGGGGGACUGGAUGCACUUACAAUAUCCCCCUUUUUGGUGGUUGAUGACAAUUAGGUUAAGUUUUCAAUGGAGACAAUAAUAUGGAAUGUAAGUAUAGAGUUUGAGGAAUUAGAAAUCAAGAUACAGAGAAACUCCCCCUGAAGAUGUUCAUAUCUUGAGGAAUUUUCUUUGAACAGUAGAUGCACAUUGAUGAUUUAUAUCAUGGAGAUCUCCCCCUGUAUCUUGCAAUUCAUGCAUGCCUUUGACAUAUAGUAUGAGGAAUUAGAAACGCAUGAUGAAAAAUGGUGUCUGACGAAUUUCAGCAUGCAUGUAUUAAUAAAUUUUGAGGAAUAAGCAUGCGAGGAGAAACGUUCAAAAGAGUCAGAAAACCAUCGGGCUUAAGUUACAACUCAUUACAUCAAAAAAUUCAAAACAACCAAGAUUUUGUAACUUAAUAAAGUUUAUAAGCCCCAUAAUCAAUCCCGCUUGAAGACUAACUCUUAGAUUUCUCCCCCUUUGUCAUCAAGUGAUGAAAAGGGACAAAACUCUGGACUAACGCCCAUAAAGAAAUUCACUUCUUUGAUGAUGUAGAGGUGUGAGCAUCCUUGGAGACAGGCUUCUUUCUUGGGCCAGUUGCAGUGUCCUCUAUUUCUUCAUCUGAUUCUGAAGUGUGAAAUGAAGAAAAUGAAUUGUCCUCCAAGUCAGGAACUGGAAUAGGUUUGAAUUUCUUCUUUGGAAGCCAUGACCAGUCAAAGUCUUGAGUAAAUUCCAUUUCAUCAAGUUCCUCCGAAAUCUUCAGAUGAGCCAAUGUGGCCUAAGUGCGAUCAAAUACUUCAUGAAGAUAAUAGUGAUUUUUCUUCACUGCAUUUUGAGUUUCAUUGAGGGUUUUCACAAUGGCAUCAAACUGGCAUUUCACCCACUUGUGAUGCGAUCGACUUUCUGGUGAAUCAUGAGGAGAAGCUCUUUAUUAGUCAUCACCCUUGGGGCAGUUGGGCUUGAAUGGUUUUGAGUGGUUGUGUUAUCAUAUGAAGAAUAAGAGUCAGCCUAGCAAAAAUGACCAUCCAGAGGCCGAUUUCCUUCAUCAAUCACAAACUUGCCUCACAGACUUGCCUUUGCUUUCAACUGGUUCAAAUGAUUCUUUGAUGAUUUGGUAGGCGGCAGAUAUACGAGAUGAUUCCUGGUCCAGAAAUUUCUCUAUGUGAUGCGAAGCUUGUCAUAGGCAUUUUCUCCAAUGAAGUACUAACGUUCAUCAUAGAAUGCUUCCUUCUAAAACUUAGGCCUCUUGGUGAAGGGCUGAUAAGGCUUUGGUUGAAGAUUAUUCUCUUGAGGAGUUGGGGCCACCAUAAUUGCAGUUUCAGGGUUUACGGCGACAAUUACAAUUUCAGCAUUAGGAGUAGGAGCAUUUUCUUCGGCUUGAGGAAUUUGCUGAUCUGAGGAAGAACUUUCAGUUUAUGAUGCUGCAUCUUAUGAUUCUUGAUCUUGAGCUGAUUCCUCAUGUGUUCUUUUUCAUCAGAACCGGUCAGAAUCUCCGUGGCUACAGAAGUAUGAGGAAUUUGAGCUGAUCUUGGUGAGUUUGGAUGAGUCUCUUCCGAGAACAUGUCAUGGAUCACAGGUGUACUGCAUCCAAUUUCUUCAUCAUCCUCCUUUUCUUCAGUAGUCAUUGGAGGUGUUGUGGUUUGAGGAAUAUCAUCAACUUUAAUUUCCCCAUCCAUCGGUGUGGACGCACGAGAGCGAUUGUCUUUCAUUUCUUCAUCCUCUUCUGGAAUGAUGUAUUCCUCACCGACUAGAACAACCAUAUACGAUGGUGCUACAUUCAGAGGAGUAGCAUCCAUCGGAGCUGAUGAAGACUUUGAGGGCAUAGUCUUCAGACGUUUUGCUUCUGAUGAUUCCGAAGCAAUUGAAGUUUUUCUCUUCUUAGCUUCAUUUUCAACAGCUUUGUUUUUCUUCACGUCUGCUGCAGAAGGAGGAUUCACUUUCUUCACCUUUGAAGAUUUAGGUGAAGGAACAUUUUCUUCAAGCACUACUUCAUCAGUGUCAGGCCUCGCAGAUUCUUCAGCUGGAAUAUUCUGAGGAAUUUCUUCAGCAGUUGGUUCUUCAUUUUCAUCUUCCUCGCUCAAUUCUGCUUGGCUGAGGGUUUGGAUGCUUCUUUGGAGCGGCAAUUCUGCUAUUGUAUUCCACAAUUGCAGCAGUUGCAGCUUUGACGAAUUGCACUUUGACCCCCUUACGAUCAGCAUGAAGACUUGUAUACUUCUCCGUGAGGGUUUCCAUUUCUGCCUGAGUAGAAACAAGUUUCUCAUGCGACAUGUUGAGGAGGUUCUGCUUCAGAAAUUUCUCCUUUUUGACUUUUGCAGCACUAGCUUGUUUGGCUUGUCGUUCCUUCCAUUUGGCUUCAUUGGUGAAUGUGGCAACCAUAUGGCUUACACGAGGAGGAAGCUUCAAAUCAUCAAUUGGAGUGUUUGGAUCCUCAUACCAGAUGUCUAUGAAGUCUAGCAGUACCUUCGAAUCCAUUGCGAGAGGAAUGGAGCUGCCAGUGGCUUGUGCAACUCUUUCAUGUUUGUUUUUUAUAAUGGCUUGAAGUGUUUCAUCAUCAAAUUCUUCACUUCCUUCUGAUGCAGAAGGAACAUUGGCGAUUUUGCUUGGACUUGGUCUGGUACCUCUACCAGCAGUCAUCUUAGUCUUCAACAGACUCGGUGAAGAUUUUGAUGCUGAGCCAGUAGGAGAUGGCACAGAGGAACUAGGGUGUUCAGAUUGAAUCUUACCGAGCUGCUUUUGCGGAGGAGGUGAAGACUUUGCCGAAGUUGAGGAUUUUGCAGUCGUUGCAACUUUCUAAGGAAACUGCUCUUUUAAUGCAUCUAUUGAUACUUUUGGCAUGAGAUUUGGUUUCUUCACCUGAGUCUUCUUCUCAAAAAUUUCAGUGACAGAGGCCUCAACAGCUGAAGAAGUGACAGCAGUAGCUGCAGCAGCAGAGUCCUCAUUGAAUUUCGUCACAGCAGCUUUAGCCUUUUUCUGCAGCUUAGACAAAUAUUUGUCUCUUUCAUCAGGGUAAUCCUCAAUAGUGGCUACGCUUGAGGGAUGAGCUUCUUGUUGAUCCUNNNNNNNNNNNNNNNNNNNNNNNNNNNNNNNNNNNNNNNNNNNNNNNNNNNNNNNNNNNNNNNNNNNNNNNNNNNNNNNNNNNNNNNNNNNNNNNNNNNNCAUCCGGAACCCAUUCGUCACUCCUCGUACAUUCCCGGUAAUGCCGAAAACUUUUAGGUAACCAAAUGAGGUCAUCCUAUAUAUCGAUCUUUGUCUACGAACCAUUCCGGAAACCCUCGUGACAUUCGUGAUCUCAUCCGGGACUCCGAACAACAUUCGGUAACCAACCAUACAACUCAAAUACGCAUAAAACAACGACGAACCUUAAGUGUGCAGACCCUGCGGGUUCGAGAACUAUAUAUACAUGACCCGAGGGACUCCUCGAUCAAUAAUCAAUAGAGGGACCUGGAUGCCCAUAUAGGAUCCUACAUAUUCUAUGAAGAUCUUAUCGUUUGAACCUCAGUGCCAAGGAUUCAUAUAAUCCUGUAUGUCAUUCCCUUUGUCCUUCGGUAUGUUACUUGCCCGAGAUUCGAUCGUGAGUAUCCGCAUACCUAUUUCAAUCUCGUUUACCGGUAGGUCUCUUUACUCGUUCCGUAAUACAAGAUCCCGUGACUUAAAAUAAGUUCACAUUGCUUGCAAGGCUUGUGUGUGAUGUUGUAUUACCGAGUGGGCCCCGAGAUACCUCUCCGUCACACGGAGUGANNNNNNNNNNNNNNNNNNNNNNNNNNNNNNNNNNNNNNNNNNNNNNNNNNNNNNNNNNNNNNNNNNNNNNNNNNNNNNNNNNNNNNNNNNNNNNNNNNNNUAGGGCGAAUUCAUAGGUGGGAAUUCAAGUAGUUGCUUAUAGGACAAUCUUCCAACAAAUGCAUGAUGUUAGGUUGGGGUUCGACAUCUAGUGGAUUCGUUUGUUCACGGUCGACUUACAGCGGUACACGUUGUGUCUUAAAGAGUCCUUGUAGCUUGCUACGACUCGGGGACGCUUCGUAUGUCACGUGCACUGCCUUGCACUUGAUGGCUUUUGUAAAUCGUGCCCGUGCGAUCCUGUCCACGAAAAUAUCGAACGGAAAUCUUUCUCAUGAGUUUGUUCUGGAUUGUUUCAUAAGCCUCACCCGUUGUUUUGUAUUAAUACGGUAAUUCAGUUGCCUCGAUGUCAAGGGGUGAUUUCAGGUCUUUCCUAAUUUGUGUUCUCAUAUUUUUAUGUGAGCGCUAAUUCUUUUGUUCAAUCAGUUGUCUUAUCAAUUCUUGUCAACCGGAGUCAUCGUAUUCUUUCCAACCGGUGUGAUUCUCUAGUGAAUUCUAUCCUCUCCAUUUUUUUGCAGAUCAUUCUCUCAUCUUAUUCCGGAGUUCAUCUCAUCCGUCCCAAGUUGUCUUUGUUUUCCCCCGCCCUCCCGCCCUUUUCUUCAGUGAUUGGAUUUCAUCCAACUGCAUUUCAUUUCAGUGAUGCUUCCGCUAUCUCUUCUUUCUUUCGUAACCGGUGAUUCAUCGUGAAGAUUCUCAGGAGCUUCGUGUCAUAUUUGUUCAAUCUUGUCAUCUUUUCCGGUGAAUUUUAUUCAGUUGUCCGUGUUCAUCAUAUCCUUUUCAUCCUUGUAAUUCUUUCAUAGGUUGGAAAUUUUUAUUAGUCUAUCUUCUUGUUGUCGUUUCUCUCUAUUCUAUCCGGAGCGUUGAAGUUAUCUCAGAAUUCUUGUUCCCAAUUCUUUAAUUAUUUCAAGGUGCUCAACCUCGUCUAGUUCUCUUCAUAACGGUGCAAUAUCCCUCUUUCUAGCAAUCUUUUCAACGGUGAUUUUCUUUGAGUGGGCCCAUAACCCACAGGUUCGUCCCAGGAUCUUACCUGGCUCUUUAAUCUUUUCCGGAGAUCCUUAAUUCUUUUCAACUAUGACGUAAGUAUGAUUUUCAUCAGUAUUAUUACUUCUUCCAGAUCUAUUUGAGUUAAUUCUCAUAUUUGGCUCAACCUUUCAUUCUUCAUUAUUCCGGAGUGUCUCAGUAUUCUUGGUGUUGUUUCUCGUCAUCAUUCUUAGUUUGCAAAUCUCAAGGAGUGUUUCUCUCGAAUCUUGGUCCAUUCUCUUGAAGAUAUCAUCUCAGCUUGUGUUAUCCUCUCAAUUGUUUCCAUUCAGGAGUAAUUCCUUUCUUGCUAUCCGGUGCAUUUCUGAGUUGUUUUCAUUCUCGAUCCUCCGAAGGCCAUCAUCCAGAAGAUUCUUCGUUCUAAGCUUUCAGCUUUCAUCCUCAAUUCUUCUCAAUUGUUGUCUCUUCGUUCGUCUCUCGAUUAUCCGGUGCCGUGUUUAAGUUUUCUUCUCUUAGGUGGUUCAUGAUCUCUUCGUUAUCUUGCAUCUCCAUUAAUUCGUGGUGUUCCCAUUCAAUUGUGAAUUCUUACCGGUGCUUCCUUCAAUUAUGCCUCAAGUGGUGCUUAUCUCUCUGUCUCUUCAAGAUUCUUUCAACAAGAAUAAGUCGUAUGCUAAAUCCGUUGCUUGUCAUCAAAACUUGAUGAGGGAUAAGCAUAAUAUAGUUCUUGUUCUUGUUCAUAGUAAUCUGAAUUCUUCUUCCGGAGUGGCUCAUUGUAUCAAUUCUUUUCUCAAGUGCGUUUAUUUCUUUUCCGGAGUUCCAAGUUCUUUUAGUAUCUCUUUGUGAAGCUUCAUCUAAAUCUUCGCAAGGUCUUAAUCGUAUUCUUUUCUACCUUUAUAUCUUUGCAUCAUUCAUUUGUAUACGGAGGUCCUUCUUGGUGGUUCAUCAAGGUUUCAAACUAUUCUCAUGUGUUCUUCAAGAUUCUUGUUGGAGAACCUCAAGUAUCAGUUCUCUUGCAUCUAUAAGUGCAUUUGUUCUUCCUUUAUCAUUUGAGGUGGUAUUAUAACCUUCUUGUUAGUGUAGGAGACUCGAAGAGUUUUCCUUUCAAGAAUGAGAUAAUUAAAUCCAUCGAUUCUAUGAUCAUGAGAUAUUUGUAACCCAUGAUUUCUUCUUUGAGCUAUCUUGGUUUGGAUUUCACCUAAAGCUUUUCCUAUGGAUUGUGCUAUCAUGGUGCUUGUCUUUAAUCUCAGUUCUCAAUUUAUCCUCUCGUUGUAAGAAGUUUUCAUCUCCUUGCUUUAAUCAGUCCUUGUUUCUGUUAGUGGCUGGUUGUCACUUCAUUAGUUUGAAAAGGUUUCCAUAAGCCCACUACUAUCUUGUUCUUUUCGUUGUUGUUUUUCCAACAACUUCGUUCAAUUCUUCUCGCAAGGAUGCUUGCUAAGUUCAUCAGAGUUAGUAGUUGUCAUUCUUUCUUCAUUCUCUUCUUCCUUAUAAGCUAGUUCCUAUUCUUUUGUUCCGGAGGCUUUGUGAUGUUGCUCUUUUGGGUCUAUCUUGUUGUUCUAUCAAGAUCAUGGUCUUCCCUUGCUCUAUUUAGUUGUUCGUUAGGAAUAUUGUCUAUUUCUUUCAUAUUAUCGAAAUUUUUGUCCCAUUUUCCUACCGAAGUGCUGCCGAAAUUUUCCGUGAAUUCUUGCUUCCUUCUCAUAUCAGUCCUCAUCUCAUUGCAACUUUCAAAGAUCGUCCGUUUCACUUCCUUGUCAGGAAGUGACGAAACUUUUCCCUCUUGCUUUCUCAUCCUCUCCCCCUUUCAUUCUUGGAUCUCGGGGCGAGAUCCUCUUGUAGUGUAGGAGAGUUGUGACAGCCCGAUGCCGACGUUCCAGAAGCUUCCCCUUUUUUCUCCGUUUUCAUCAUGUGACUUGAUUAAUCUGUCGCAUCGUCAUCGCAUCAUGCGCAUCAUCAACAUUGCAUCGGCAUCCCGUUGCCGCCCGUUUUCAAAGCUUGCAUCCGUUAGUAGUUGCCGGUCCUCGUCGUUGUCCGGUCUGAGUCCAACCGCACACGCACGCGUCCGCGGCACCGUCGAAACCCUGUUUUUAAAGUGCGUUUAAAACUUUCUCUGAUCGAGGUGAAACUUGGGAAGCGGUCGCGAUUAGUUAUAGGCAGAAUGCCUGUCGAAUUUCGUCGCGAUCGGAGACCGUCUGGUACCCGAACCGUCGCCCGUAGCAGCACCGUAUUCAGGAUACCGUCGGACGUCUGUCAGUGUUUUUAAAUUCGUGCCGCGCCGCCCGCUCUCCCCCUCGUCUCCGGUAAACCCCUCUACACGGCCGCGUACCCUUACCCGCGUUCGGAAUCGUCCGAAUCCGACCCCGCGGUUGGAUCCGGAGCGCGAUUCCGGUUAACCGAGCCCCCAUUUGUCUAUAAAUACCCCCCCAUGCAAUUUAGACAGCCUUCCUCAAAUCCCUCCUCGUUUUCCGUGCCCCACAUAAACCUAACCCUAGCCGCCCCACAGCCUCUCUCUGUCCCGCAACCGCCGUCGGCCCGCGAGGCCCGUAGCAGGCCCGCACCGGGCCCGGAUCCGGCCGCCGCCCAGCCGCCGCCUCCCGUGCGCCCGAGGUGCCGUGCUCCUCCCGCCGUCGCCCUGUGCAGCAGCCCCGCCGUCGUGCACCAUGCCUCGCCGCCGCCUCUCGCCGGCACCGGCGGCACCCCGCGCCACCACCCGGUGCCUCGCCGGCCCUGCCUGCUCUAUGGUUCCGACCAGGAGCCCCAUGGCAGCCCCGAGCUCCUUGGGGAGCUAACCCUGCCGCCGCCUCCGGCCUCCACCGCCGCCGCGCAAGGUCGCGCCGCCUUGGCCUCCCCGAGGUUGUCUCCUGCCAGCCCGCGCCGCCGCCUUCGUCCUCUGUGCAGGUCCGACGAGCCGCCGCGGCCAGCCCCUCGCCGACGCAGCCCGUGAUCUCCCUCCCGCGCCAGAUCCGAUCGGGAGUUGGCUCGCCCCGGUGACCCACAGGUGGGCCCCGACGGCCCAGCUCCCCCCUGGCCGGUUCGCCCUCGCCCUGGCCGCGUGGGCCAGCUUGCCUCCCGGCCCAGUCCGCUGCCGCACUGCCUGCUCAAGAGCCCACCGCCUCGGCCUGCCACCGCCCCUCCCAGGCCGGCCCAACCGAGGUGAGCACCUCCUUCCCUCGCCCACAGCGCAUUUUAAUGUGUUGCGCUUAACCUGUUCGUCCCGAUAGAAUUUUUUAGGCUUUUCGGAAUUUUAAAUUCCAGAAAAUUAUCCGUAUAUUAGAUCGCGCGUAGUUUAAAAUCCGUGUGUCAGAUCGGGGCGAGUAAUAUAUGCUUCUCGUGUAACUUUUCGCGUAGGAUCCGAUUUUACAACUUGCACUUUUAUUUGACGUAGUUUAACGUGCCAAAUGCCUAGUUUUACGUGUUGUCCUGGUAGGUUUGUUGCCCGUAUUUAUUUCCACGCGUGUUUGAAUUGCCCGUAUACCGUAGAUUAAAUGCCCAUGUUUUUAGGGAUCUUUUUGCAUGUAUUUUAGAGCGGUCAUUUGUUUUUUUGCGUGUAAGGAUUGCCGGUAGUUGUUUUCCCCGUAUAUAGGUUAUUCUCCCGCAUUAUUGGGUGGCUUUAUUUUGCGUUGCAAACCCCACAUAUUUUAUAUGUUUUCGGGGUAGAAAAAUCCCAUGGAUUUUUCUGUGCAAUUAGUUUUAGCUUUUGAGGAAGUUAGUUCGCGAGAUAUUUUGCCGUGAUGCCCUUUUGUUUAAUUCGUAGGAUUUAAUCUGUGCGUCGUUUGACGGAGUUGUCAACUAGAGAGUUGAUCUCGGAUGUUUUGUUUAGCCUCUGGUAUUUUUGGUUGCAAUAGAAAUGCAUGUUUAGAUGUUGUUUGCUUGCUCUGAAGUUGCUAGAAGUAGUGCUGUUUAGAGGAGCUGAAAUAUUUCUAAGUCUGGAAUCUGAUAUUAUUUUGUUGCUGUCUUGUCUUGCUUGCAUCUUGAGAUCUGUAGCUCUUCUGGGGUUGGUCCAAUGGAGUUAGGUGUACCCCUUAUGUUUCUAUAGCAUGCUGUUAAGUUUCAUGUCAUUUGGAGACCUGUAGCUUAGGGUUUUGCUGCUGUCAAUAUAGCUUCAGGCUGAAAACUGCACUUUCAGGAGGUGUUAUUUUCACUAAGUCUGAAAUAGUGCGUGAGAUGCCAUUUUGUGUCUUCUUUUCCUAGUGCUCCUUGCUGCCAUGUUAGUUGUUGUUAGUAGUUUGUAGUAGUGCUUCUUUCCCUCUUCCGUGCCAUGCCUUGCUUGAGUUUAUCGGAGUUGGGUAGCCGAAGUUGUGAGGCGUAGAAAGUGAUAUGUGGCUGUUUUUGGCAGUUUGUAGUGUUUUCUUGUUUUGCUCGUAGUUUUUGAACCGUAGCUCCGAUUUGAUCGUGUCGUACAUGUAACUUGCUUAGAAUCUCGUGUAGUUUCAUUUUCUCUUGCUGUUUGUAUGUGUUUAAGUGCUCGUAGCCGCCGUUGCAUGCAUAUUGCAUUCAUGCCAUCAUAUCUUGCGGUGCUUGUAACUUUUGAUCCGUAGCUCCGUUGGAGAUGUUCUUUAUGUCUAGAUUUCUUGCCUUGACGCGUAGAAUCACGUGAACCUAUUUGUUCUGCUGUUUAACAACCAAUUAAAUGUGUUAAUUCAGAUCUGGACAGAAUUGUAAAUUAACAUGUGAGGUCGUCUCGGAGAUGCUAUAUGACAUUUCCGACCUCAUUUAAAAUGUCUAGAUAGGUAGUUUUACUUCCGCUUCACCUCCAGCAUGUUUAACCACAUUUAAUAUUACCGUGUAUUUAAUCGGGAUAGAACUAAAUAAAUGAACGUGGAAUUUCGUCAAUAUGCAACUCGUUGCAUAUUGAACUUCACUUAAUGUGUAGUUUUGAUUGUGUGGAAUUGUCAUGCCGUGACUUGCAUGUAUUCAGUAGCUCAUGCAUCAUAUGUGUUGUGCAUCGUGUGGUGAAUUCCGUGUGCUGAUGCUUGUUUUCGUUUUCCCCCAUCUCGAUAGAGUUCCGCAGCGUGUCGGAUGUGAGGACCCGUUCGACUACGUCGGUUCGUCUGCUUCACGGAGGCAUUCUUCUUCCAAGCGGGAUCUCAGGCAAGAUGAUCAUUUCCCCAGAUACCAUUACUAUCAUUGCCAUGCUAGUUUUACCGUUUCUAUCAUUUAUGUCUCGUUGCCUACCACAUGUUAAAUAUCAGCCUCUCACCAAUGCCAUGAAACCUUCAACCUGUUCAACCUAGCAAACCACUGAUUGGCCAUGUUACUGCUUGCUUAACCCUGUUGAUAGCGUUGCUAGUUGCAGGUGUAGUUGCUUCCAUGUGAAAGCAUGCGUUCCUUGUCAUAUCACCAUAUUAAAUGCUAUUUAAUUUAAUGCACCUAUAUACUUGGUAAAAGGUGGAAGGCUCGGCCUUUCUAGCCUGGUGUUUUGUUCCACCUUUGCCUCCUUAGUUUUGGCUAUCAGUGUUAAGUUCCAUAAUUGAGCGCUCCUAACACGAUCGGGGUUGUUAUGGGGACCCCCUUGAUAAUUCGUUUUAGAUUAAAGCUGGUCUGGCAAGGCCCAACUUUGGUUCUACUUUUGCCCAACAUAAUAAUGCUGUUAAAUUGAAAUUGCAUAGGGAGUUAGCGCUACCCGAGGAGUAAUUUUACAUAAACAGGGGGGGCCAGUGCUGAUGGUGUUGGUCCCAAACGGUCUGCCUGCGGGGCCACCGCGAGGAAACUCGAGGUUUGGCACCUGUAGCUAGUUCCAUCCGUCGUGUCCUGAGAACGAGAUAAGCGGCUCCUAUCGGGUACGUUGACACGUCGGGCGGCCUUGCUGGAUUAGUUUUACCUUUGACGAGAUAUCUUGUGCAUCGGGAUUCCGGUGAUGCUUUGGGUAAUCUCAGAGUUGAGAUUUUCCACUAGGGAAUCCGACGAGAUCGCGAGCUUCGGGAUUGAGGAUUUCUAUGCGGCUUGUGGUAAUUUGUGAUGGACUAGUUGGAGCACCCCUGCAGGGUUAAAUCUUUCGGAAAGCCGUGCCCGCGGUUAUGUGGAAACGUGGAUACUUUGUUUAACACUGGUUCUAGAUAACUUGAAGUUAACUUAAUUCAAACUUGCCAACUGUGUGCGUAACCGUGAUUGUCUCUUUCGUGAGUUCCUUCUCCGAUCGAGGACACGGUGGGGUUAUGUCUGACGUAGGUAGGUGUUCAGGAUCAUUCAUUUGAUCAUCUGUAGUUCACGUCCGCUAUGCGUAGAUCUUCCCCCUAUACUUCUCGUACUCGUAAGUUUAGCCACCAAAUAUGUGCUUAGCCGCUGCUGCAACCUCACCACUUAACCAUGCCUCACCCAUUAAGCUUUGCUAGUCUUGAUACCUUUGGAAAUGAGAUUGUUGAGUCCCCUGUGGCUCACAGAUUACUACAACUUCAGUUGCAGGUACAGGUAGAGGUUACUUGACGCGAGCGCGUUGAUUGUUCAUUUGGAGUUGCCUCUUCUUCUUCUUCUCCUUCAUCGAUCUAGGAUGGGUUCCAGGCCGGCAGCCUGGGAUAGCAAGGAUGGACGUCGUUCUUCUUUUGUCGUUUGUUUUCGUCCGUAGUCGGACCCUGCUCUUACUCUUGAU
rnacentral:lncRNA from 1 species